rnacentral:lncRNA from 1 species
CGACGUUUAAAAAAAAAACUACUUAAAACUCUCUAAUUUUCCAAAUAGGUCACAAGCAAGGGCUUAAAACCAAGACCUUCACAAGAAAACAAAGGCAAACUGCAAAUACUGUCACACAGCUUACCAGCAAUGAAAUUGCAGAAAAAAUAAACAAGAAUAUUUAUCAGCAAGUCCUUAGUUAUGUUACUACUAACUAAAACAUUUCAAUAAAUACAUAAUAAGAAAUACAUAAAAGGCUUCACUUUAUUCAUGAAUUGGAUUUCCCAUCAACCUUAAAUUGUAGAGAGACUAAGCAAAGCGAUAUUUCAAACCAAAGAGAAAAUAAACCAUUCAAAAAUGGCUACUUGAAACCAAACACAGGUCCACAGAGAAAACGAUCGAACACAAAAGAAAGAAACAUCACAAUCAACGGACAGACACCAUCAUAGAACGACCAAAAGAACAGCAACUUCACAGGCCACCACGGAGUCGGAGGACAAGGUGAAGGGUAGACUCCUUUUGGAUGUUGUAGUCAGCAAGAGUCCUCCCAUCCUCCAGCUGCUUUCCAGCAAAGAUCAACCUCUGCUGGUCAGGAGGGAUACCUUCCUUGUCCUGAAUUUUUGCUUUCACGUUGUCAAUUGUAUCUGAGCUUUCCACCUCCAAAGUGAUGGUUUUCCCGGUCAGCGUCUUAACAAAAAUCUGCAUGCCUCCCCUCAACCUCAGCACCAAGUGCAGAGUUGACUCCUUUUGAAUAUUAUAAUCUGCCAAUGUUCGGCCGUCCUCAAGCUGUUUACCAGCGAAGAUCAGCCUCUGUUGGUCUGGGGGGAUGCCCUCCUUAUCCUGGAUCUUGGCCUUGACGUUAUCAAUGGUGUCGGAGCUUUCCACCUCAAGCGUAAUGGUUUUCCCGGUCAGGGUCUUGACGAAAAUCUGCAUUCCACCCCUCAACCUGAGCACCAAGUGGAGAGUGCUCUCCUUCUGGAUGUUGUAAUCGGCAAGGGUGCGGCCAUCCUCGAGCUGCUUACCAGCGAAGAUGAGUCUCUGUUGGUCUGGUGGAAUGCCCUCCUUAUCUUGGAUCUUGGCCUUGACAUUAUCAAUGGUGUCGGAACUCUCCACCUCAAGGGUAAUGGUUUUCCCGGUAAGGGUCUUGACGAAAAUCUGCAUUCCACCCCUCAGCCUGAGGACCAAGUGGAGAGUGCUCUCCUUCUGGAUGUUGUAAUCGGCUAGGGUACGGCCAUCCUCAAGCUGCUUACCAGCGAAGAUGAGCCUCUGCUGAUCUGGAGGGAUCCCUUCCUUAUCCUGAAUCUUAGCCUUUACAUUAUCGAUGGUGUCGGAGCUUUCCACCUCGAGGGUGAUGGUCUUGCCAGUCAGGGUUUUAACGAAGAUCUGCAUCUGCAGGAUUGAACAAAAUAAAUUUAGAAACAAGUCAUUUCGUUCAUCACUCAUCAGAGACGAAAUAAAUUCAAUUAACCAAAAAACUACGGUUAUAUAACCCAUUCAAAACCUAGUUAUUCUCAUAAAUAUAUCCAUAAACAAUUAACAAAAUACAGAAAGAAUAAACAAAUUUCUAGAGAAAUUAUUCAAUGAAUUAGCAAACAUAAUAAAAUUCGUCAAAAGAUAUAUACUGAAAACCUAUCAUAAAAACAGAUGUGCAGGAUCCGCACAAAAAUAAUCACAGAUCGGGAAAAAAUUUGCAAAAUCUAAAAAUCAAAGGCAAAGUAGAUGGAUAAUCUUCAGAUCGGCAGGGUCAUUCCGGAAAAUCGAUUUUUACAAUCAAUUAAUGCUUAAUAAAAAAAAUCAAAUCCAACAAUCAAAUGUAAAUUUUGCCCCCAUAAAAUAUAGAUCUGCAGUAUCCUUUCAAAAAUUGAUUACUUUACAAUCGCAGAUCCAAAAAAUCAAAAUCAACAAAUCAAACUAUUGAAAGACUGAGAUCUAUAGCCUAUCAGACAAAAUCAACUUUGACAAAUAUUAAACAAAGUACCUUGAAUGAGAGAUUGAAUGAGAGAAAGAGAUUCGAAUAAAACUUUGACGAGAAUCGAUGAAACGAAUUAGAGAUGUUUUUCUCAAUUAUGAAUGAGAAGGGGGGAUGAGAUGCGUGCUUAUAAAGAUGAAAUGGCCGACCUACUGCGAAACCGCCUUUACCACUUGGCCAAUGAAAUAAAAGACACGUGUCAUAGAUGAGCUGUACCGCAAUAACCUUCACAACAACUGCACCUAAAAUUUUUUCUCUGUGUGGCGGAUAUUAUUAGGAACCUUGUAGACUAAAAUACACACGCUUUUCAGCAAGUGAACAACACUUUUUAGAGUGCGUUUCUGUUUGCUUGAGAUAAUUGUCACUCCAUGGUACCCACUUCUGACGCAAUGGGUGACGUUGUCAAAUUCCGGGUUGGAUUGUUUGCUGUGUUGGCUUGACCAAAAUCUCAUCAUGAAUUUAUGAUUGUUUUUAUUCAAAAUAAAUAAAUAAAUUUUACAUUAUUGUAUGUAGGCCCUAAUUUACAAAUUUAUUUAUCAAUACUGCUGUGUUAUUUUGAAGGUAAUAUUAGUGUCUUUAAUGUAAAGGAUUGACUGUGAAAACUUGAAGGGAAUAAUGGUGAGAUAAGAACUCCUCCGUCUGUUGUUGUUUGAUGCAUUUUCCCUUCUGGAUUUCUAGUGAAAAAUGCCACCACCAAAAAGUUGAAGAAAUCAUCACCAACUUUAGCAUGAAUUUCCAAAUUUUUCCAUAGGGCAGGCAUUAGAGAAGGAUCUAGAAUAUAAUUAGAUAAUUUUGCCUCUACCACCAUACUAGAAUUCUUUCUCUGGAUAAAUGAUGGCAGCAAUCCUCUGCCUAUAUGUGUGUGUGUGUUGUCGUAUGUGUAAUUAAUUGUGUGGUGUGAAGAAAGUGAGAGCAAGAAGAAAGAGUGGGAAAGAGAGAGAUAGUGAGAGGCAGUGUAGUGUUCUAGUGAAAAGUGUUUCCAUAUAAUCAAAGUGUGUAAAAUCUAUUUUAUAAAUAAAAUAAUAUCUUUCUUUUAAGUCUUAAACUCAACAAAAGUUGUUAACAACUUGUAGUUUAGAUUCCCAGAUUACCCCCACAUUUUACAACAGAAAAUACAAAAAAAUAAAUAAAAUCAAGGAUACACAAGCAUUCUAACUCAUUUCAAGGUAUGUGGUAGAUAAGAGCAAGUUGAUUCUCGAACUUUCAUUAUUUGCACAAUCAGUCCUUAAUAUUGGAAACUGUACAGAUCUCUAUUAAAUUGCCACGUGAUCCUUGUAGGCCCUACUAUAUGAAGUUAGAUUUUGUUUUCCAGCUCGGUUUGGCUCUUAGAAAUUUGAAAUGAAGUAUUUUUCUCACUCAGGACCACAUGAAAAUUUAACGAAGAUUUGGAUUCUUUUGGUCAAGGAUUGACUGUGGAACUAUAAUUGAAUGUUGAGAUUACACUCGAUCCUUGUCAAAGGUCGGGGGCCAACUUUUGAUUUAGGCAGGAGAUAUGUUGAGGACCAAUGCUGCAAUUGUCCCCAAUAAAGCUUGGAACGAAUGUCUAUUAUUUUGUUUAAUUGUCAAGUAACGAAGCCUUUGUAUGCUAGUGGUUAUAUUGGUGUAUUAUAGUUUUGCCUUUUUGUUUCAUCAUGAGUUUUAGAAAGUAGCUAACCUUCAACUGAAUCAAGUAAUGAGCUUCCAGCAGAACUUAUUCAAACUUCGUUAAAGAUGGCACUGCCGCACCAACAUCUGAAGAAGCUUAGACUCUACAGCGGCGAUCUUUCUCGCCUUGGACCUGCAGACCGCUUCCUUCAAGUCUUGGUCAAUAUUCCAUUUGCUUUUAGAAGGCUAGAAACACUGCUUUUAAUGUGCACUCUUCAGGAGGAGACAUCAACAAUAAAAGAGUCAUUCGGAGUUUUAGAGGUGAGAUAUUGGUGCUGUUAACUACCAGUUGAUUAUUGGUAGAAAAUUUUAAUUGGAUAUAUAACUUGAUUUCAUUUUAGAACAUUAAUUUUUGAAACAAUAUAGCCCACACUGAUUAAAAUAUAAAAAUAUUUUCUUGAAAAUCGUGUCAUAAAUAGAUUGAUAAUCUCAAAUGGCCUGCUUGGUAGCUCAUUUGGCCAAGUCUUUGUGAGCUCUUCCGAUUGUUCAGCAAGAAAUUCACCAUUUGUGGGUGGAGACGAAGAACUUCUGAUUUCACUUGACUAUCUACGGUUCCAUUGCAUCCUUUGUUGAGAGGACGAUGAAAGAACUCUUUCGAAGGUGGGAGCCUCAGUGGAACUCGUUUCAUUCAUUCAGUGCCAGUGAUGAUAGACAAUUAAAGUAAGGGAAAUUUACACAAAUGUCACUAAAAUUGAAAAUGAAAAAAAAAAAAUUUGACUUUCACCAAUUUCUUUCAAAAAUGUCAAUUUUUCUUUACAAAAUGUCCACUUUACCUUUGAACACCUUUUUGGAGCAAUAAAUGCUUGAUUUGAAUGCAAUUAAUGGUAUGAUGUGAUUAAUUUUUUUCUUUAAUUUUAACAUUGAAGAUAUCAAUAUUAUAUUGUAUAAUAUGAUUUUUUUUUUAUUAAAAAAGAGGUGAAAUCUUUACAAAAUACACACACAUACGAAUUGAAAGAGCUUCUUCUUCAUUAACAUCUCCACUUCAUCAUCAACAAGGAAACAAGGAAAGUCAUUGAUCAAUUUCAAAUGUGAGCUAGUAGAAAAAAAUUCUUUUCAUGUCAUACUUGACUACUUUAAAUGUUCAAUACAACAUGAUCAUAUUUAAAUGACCCUUUUCAAUCUCUUAUUCAUUGAUGUGUUUUAUUUUUGGUAUAUUUUAGAAAGAAAAAUAAUAUCAAUAUUCUUUAGAAAAUGUAAAGGAUUCCAUAUUUAAUUCCACAUUUAAUGAAGCAUCGAGUGAUACCUUCUUCAUUUGUAGAAAGAUACAGUGAUGUUGUAGUUGAGAAUUGAUUAUGGCCUUUAAUGUUUUCAAUAAAAUCUUCAAACAGUGAAACACGUGAUAUUUAUCUUCCCCGAAAGUUAUGUCAGUUGAACUGUCGAGCAGUAUCUUCGAAACUGUCGGGUUAAACAUUUUAACUGUCGAACUCGACAUUUAGUGACUGUCGGGAUAGAAAAUUUAAUUGUCGAUUUCGACAACUGAAAACUGUUAACCUUUUAUAUCUUUGGUAGUACAUGGAUGUAAGUAUUCUCAUGCGCCAAUUUGAUGUUAUGAAAUGUCGACAUAUGAAUGUGCAAAAUUCUCACUUUUGCAGUCCCAACAUUUCAGGUAUGACUCAUAAUUUGAGAUUCAUCGUACCGCAUGGAGGAAGCUUCAUUCACUUGGAUGAUGAAUGGAAGUGGAGAGGGGACAAACCACUUCCAUUUUAGCGUCGAAAAGUAUUAUCGUAGCAGAACCUGUGUUACGGUUGAAGGACAAACUUGGUAUCGUUGAAUCCCGCAAUGAAAUUGAAUUGAAGUUCAAAGUCCCGAACUUGAAUAUACAUUCGGCAUAGGUACGCGACGAAGAGGACCUACAGUGGUAUAUAUCUGUUCAUAAGGAAACUGCACUUUGCGUCACUAUUUUGGAAACCGAGCUCCCGAGUGUUGAUAUGGCAACAGAUACAAACUGUGCAGAGAACUUGUUCGGCCCAACGGAAUGUCUGCAGGAAUGUAAAACACGACGAGAUCAAUCAUCAGCACAGUGUGUCGCACAGCCAAGCACCCGAACUUCUAAUUGACCGUAUAGAGGCUGCAGCAUCCGAUGAGCACUCAGACAACCCAUUACAUGGUACAGAUUGUGCUAUUAUUGCUGAAAUUGACAAGACAGUGUCAUCAAAUUUUAGAACUUUGUGCACAGAUGAGUGGAUUACAGCUGCAAAUACAUCCGUUCUCGCCGAGAAGCAAAUAUUCUUUAGCAAGAAACAGUUGUACUCGAAGCUUCGUGGACUUGCUUUGCAACAGAAGUUCCAAUUUCAGGUAAGUAGGCCAAGCUUGAAAAUGUUAAUAGUUGUCUGUGUGGAUGAUAAUUGCAAGUGGAUGCUACGUGAUUCUACUGUCAAACAAUCUGCAAUCUUCAUGAUCCGUAAAUUCAUUACAGUUCACACAUGUUCCCUUGAUUUUUGUCGUAACGCACAUCAGCAUGCCACUAGUUCUGUAAUUGCGGAGCACAUUUUGGAAAAAUUGGAUACUCCAUAUCGAUCGUACAUCCUACUGAUAUUGCACGUGAUAUGAAACGUGAGUUUGGUGUAAAAAUCAGUUAUAGCAAAGCAUGUAGGGAGAAGCUCCAUGCCUUAAAUAUGUUACAUGGUACACCGGAGGACAGUUUUCAAAAAUUAUCUUUAUACUGUCACGUCGUAGGAGAGAGUAACCUAGGACCGUAACCCACAUCGAAGUUGAUUCUCUUCAUAGAUUUCAUUACUUCUUCGUAACUUUUGGUGCAAGCAUUUGUGGUUAAAUACAGUACUUGACACCCGUUAUUUGUGUUGAUGGCAGUCACUUGAAGGAUCUAUACAAAGGUACACUCCUAGUGGCAACUGCCCAAGAUGGUAAGAAACAGAUUUAUCCGUUGGCAUGGGGGAUCGUGGAUGUUAAAACCAAUAAAUCCUGGAAGUGGUUUAUGUCAAACUUGAAAGAUCUUAUAGGGGACUCCGAAGAACUCGUGUUUGUUUCGGACAGGGAAAGAGUAUUAAGAAAGCUAUUACUCAGUUGUUUCCGUUAUCUUACCAUGGUUGUUGUAUAUGGCAUAUGGAAAAGAACCUAAUACAGCGGUACAACAACGCAAGCCUAAUACUUCUAUUUAAACGAGCUGCUACAACCUUUCGGGUCGAGGACUUCGAACGACUCAUGGGACAGAUUCGUAGAGUGAGUGAAAGAGCGUACGGGUACUUAGAGCGAGCGGGUUAUUCAUUUUGGUCCAGAGCACUAUUUAUUGGACACCGUUACAACAUUAUGACAAACAACAACGUAGAGUCCUUGAACUCGAUGUUGAGAGAAGCCCGAUCAUUACCGAUAACCUGCUUGGUUGAACACAUUCGGAGUACUAUGCAGAAGUGGUUUUACGAACGUCGAACAAAUGCGAAAGAAUGCAGUACCUUAUUGACGCCGAGGAUGGAGAACGAGUUACAGACGACGUUCGAAAAUGGCACUAGGCUUUGAGCCCAUGUCCUGACAAACAACUUAACGUAGGUUGGAAUAUCCAACAACACGGACAUAGUUGACUUGUCCAAAGAUACCUGCACAUGUCGUGAGUUUCGACUAAAUCAUAUGCCAUGUGUUCAUGCAAGUUGUGCCACUUGCUUUAGAAGGAAGUUUAUGUACGAGCUUUGCUCCCCUUAUUACACAUCGGAAUACUGGAGGGCUGCCUACAACGAAGCUAUAUAUCCUGUUCCGAGGGAAGUGGAUCGGGUUGUUCUGAGCUUAAUUACAUGUACUCUUAUUUUGCCACCACUCAUACGUCGUCCUCCAGAUAGACCACCAACCCGACGUAAGCGUUCUAGGUACGAGUCUGCAUGGUCUAACAGAAAAUGUACUCGCUGUGGUGGAGUUGGUCAUAACCGGACCACGUGUUCAAACUCCCAUGUAUCACAUGUUCCUUAGAGAUUUGCGAUGUAAUAGACGUUGUAUGUUCAUUAUUCUAUACUACAUCAAACAUUUUGAAGUUAUGUUUUAAAGUUUAUGAUAAUUACUGUUCUUGCAUGUUGCACAGCCUUUUGUGCACAUACAAAUUUCAGACUCUUUUCAGCACCUACUGAACAUCGCGCCCUAUUAAAAUGUCGGUCCCGACAAAUGUGUUACUUAUUCUCGACAAUUGACGGAACCUUGCACUGCACUCACGAUCUACUUCACAGAUCUUGUAAACUAUACAUGUUGGGAACAUAAAACAACAUAACGGAACCGGUUGGACACUGUACAUGUAUUAUUGUUUUCCAUCUAUAAACGCAAUCUUCAAUCCCCAAGAGAUUUACUAUCAUUUGCAUCAUCGUAAAUCGUGGACUAAAGUUAGUGCAUGAUAAACACCAUUUCAUAACACCCGUUCAACAUACUACAAAAUACAGAUCUAUUUACAAACAUACGAUCCUUAAUGCCUGACAGUUAAUAUGUCGUUCCCGACAGAUAGUCUCAGUAAUUCUCGACAGUUGGACCGGAACACGCAAAAUACACUACCCGAAUUACAUCUUAGGGACAUGCUUACUUAGACUUUUUGGUUUUGUCUUAACCAAAGUCAUCCUUAAAAAAUACCUAACUAUACAAUACUUAUUCACUAUAUUCCAUGGGUGUCACUUCAAUCGUCGUCGACAACUGAACCAUCUUUCCCACUAUCCUCGCCUGACUUGUCCAACGAGAUGAUAAUUACCUCGUUUGGUACGUCGUACGCCAUCCAAUCGUCGGAAUCCUCCUCAUAUCCGGCGUCGAGCUCGAACACCUCAUCGAUCACACUGUUCGGUGAUUGCGUACCCUCGUUGGAAACAUCUUCUAAGUUAGGAAAAGGAUCAGGGAAAAUGGCUCUCCUACCAAUACGAGGGUUAACUUCCUCAUCAUCUGAUGAAAUGUAGAUUGAAAAUAACGAAGAUGAACCGAGAACUAGCAGUGGCUCGUUGAUGUUCAAUGGUUCGGUGCUUCCUGUGGAAGAACUCAUUACGUGAACGUAUUUUAGUAUAAAUGAAACGAUAAGUGUCUGUGAGAAGUUGAAUGUCUCACAAUGCUUUUCAAGUAGCUUGUUUGUAAGUGAGAAUGAACUCCCACAGUAUUUAUAAGCUACUUGAAGAAGAAAUAAUUAUGGUCUUCAUCUAUCCAACCACCAAGUCCAAUCUCCUUGUAAAUUUAAAAAUCAAUUGAUGUGAUAGUUGAAUAAAUGAAGUGUACCUUUAUCCCCCAUUUUCCCAUACUUAGUACGAUCUUAAACACUCUUUAAUCAUGUGUACAAUUAAGGAAAUAUCCAUACCUGCAACAGAAAAUUUCUCAAUCAAAUUGCUAGUUUUCAAUUGCCAUGCUUGUGAUGGUAUAGUUUCUCACACUUACGGGUCAUCAUCGCAACGCACAUGUAAGACGAAGAACGAGAAUUUUUUUUUUACACAUUAACUGAUUUAUGACUUACUUGCACCGUGGUUGUCAUGGUUUUGACACUUGUAAUGACUCAUCUUGUUAACCCAAUCUUAUAUUGAUAAGGCACUUGCACGUUACUUAGCAAUAGAAAUACUACAAUAUGCUCGUCCAGACAUAUGCCGUAGUAGUGCGAGCCGAGUGGCUUCGUAGCAAAAUAAAUAAUAGUAUACAUAGAUUUCGAAUAUGGCUCAACCCAACAUAAGUUUUGAACAAAUGUCACAUAAAUUGUUUCAGCGAGACGAUAAUAAUACACUGUAACGACGAACAUAAAAUUUCACGCUUUCUCACUUUUCGUUGCAUCUCAUGUAUGUGCCCGAAUGCCUUACUUUGCAACAGCAAGCGGCUUGCAUUCUGAAUGAGCUCAUAUCCCUGCAAACGAAGUUCAAAAACAGGCCAAUAAUUACAAAAUUUCGUAACUGCUGUGAAAUAACACUCUAGAAAUUCACAUUGCAACCUCCAGGUUUACAUUAGACCCCUAAUCAUAACUGCCUUUUUCAAGAAUUACCAAAAAUGCAUAGAAGUAGUCAAAUAAUGCGAGUGGGAGCAUGCAAAAUGAAGAAUACAAUAUUUGAAUGAGACAUUUUUAUGAAACAAAAUUUAUGGGUGAAAAAUUUCUCAUUGAAUAUUUAUGAAACAUCCACUGUCUGAUACUUCGUUUUUCCAAAAUAAAGCCACCACAUUACAUUUAUUGAGCCAAAAACUCCUCAUAACAAAAACAUAAUGGCUACAUAUUUUUCUCAGUCUAAAAGUUGUUAAUCUAGCUAACUAUUGCAAGAAUUUUAUGACAGACAUCUUUACACUGUAGAUAUGCAUAGAAAUUGUGCAGCAUUUAUCAGAAUAAUAUCGACCCAGAUUAAAGCUUUAGUAAAGAUUACAUAUAAUUAAAAAAAUGGAUAACUACAUACAUAAGAACGCAAAGAAAUUAUGUGCACAUACCUGCACAUGUAUUUAAAACAUAUUAUGACAAAGUGUUUACAUAAUAUUAUUCAAAUUAAAUUAAUUUAUCAAAUAUAACAUUCAUUAUUUAUCUCCAAUUACGCGUUUGAAGGCUUGCGAAAAUAGAAACGAACACUUACCACAAUUUCAGAUCCCCUUGGCUUUGAAAAUUGCCUCUUCUCUAUUAACACAAAAUGGAUGAUAUGCUUUUGGGCAACCUCUGUGAAUUCAUAGGGAAAAAGUAUUGAUAAGCCCCAUAAAACACAAAAUGAACAAUUUUUUUUUUAGAAACACAUGAACACAUUUUUUACUGAUUACAUUGUUAAUAUUAUACAUCCCAAGUCUCAAUAAAUGACAGAAGUUGAUAUAUGAUGACAUUUUUUUUAUUUAACAUGAGCAACACGGGGUAUAAAGAGUAAGACAAAUUACAAAAUCAUAAAGAAUCGAAUUAUAUAACUAAAUCUAUAAUAAAAUUGGAUCCAAUAUCAAAAAUCAACAAAAGAGUACUUAAAAAGUAUUUUUGCAGAUUAAAAUGUUGCAUAAGCUUCUUGACCUCCUCCAAAAUAAAUGAAGCACAUCACAAUAUGUUGAACCAAAAGAUAUAUUGAACAAAAAUAAAAUACCAGACUCAUACAUGACACAAUUAAAAAAAACUAUGAGUACCGAUCAGCAACGCAAUGCAUGGUCAAGUUAUCGUAACAGUAAUAUUGAAAUGAAAUGUUAGAUAAAGUAAAAGGUGAUAACGACAUUCUGCAUGGACAACGCAAAAUGUGAGGAAUGUGUCCAAGUAUCAUCAUGCAACACAAGAGUAUUUAAAAUGUCAUGUAGAACGAAUUCAAACAAUACGUAUUUAUCCAAGAAGUUAACAUCCGUCACCACCUCCACCAAUUUGAUGACAGGGCAAUACCAACUACAAGACCAUCGUCGUGCUCUCUUGGCAGUUCAUACCCAUUUUAGUUUUUUAUUCGCUUCGCCCCCCUAGUAUACGGAGUCCUAGUAGCAGAAGCUGGACGUCGCAGCCGUGUCGAGUACUAUCUCAUCGUAGGAAAUACGUGUCAUGGUUCGGCUACAGUGGCGGGAAUAGGGACUUCAGUGAGAUCGCCUAUGAAAAAUCAAAAGUAGGGGGGAGUUAGUUACCCUAAAUGACCUUCACUUACCAUACGUAACAUAUCCACUAGUAAUGCAGACAAUGAACUUACCAUCGCCGUUUGUAACGUCGCAACCCUCGAACUCUGUAUCGUUGAUCGGGGCUGCAUAUGAGGGCUCCAUGGCUCCUCCAUCUGAUGAUUACAACACAUACGUAACUACAUAGCGUUCCAUGUUUGUAGUUGGAAGAUAAUUGAAGCAUAGAGGACGAAAGAAAAUGAAAAAAAUAAUUGCCAUGUUACCGUUCAAAUCCGAGAUGGCAAACAGCGACUCGCUCUGUCCUUCACCUAAUUAGACACCAUAAUCACACGACAUGAAUAAGGGUUUUGCAUUUUCAUGAAGUCACAAGGGAAGCAGAUGUCACGAAAUAGAGUAGGGAAAAAUCCUCGCAAACGACGACGUACCUAGUUGUUCGUCGGUUGUUACGAGCAUUGGGUGGUGUUCGUCGUCCGGGCAAGGCGCAAUGUCUCCUCCGUCUGUUGAUGACAACAUGAAAACUGUGUCAAUACAUUAGUUUUCCCAACUUUCACAACAUGCAAAGUCCAUGAAACAACAAGUUUCAAUGUGCUCAUAAAUAACCCACGUACUUUGUACAUGUGUAGCUCCUAUAUCUGCUCGCAUGUCCUGCUCGUCCGGGCAAGGCUCCAUAUCUCCUCCAUUUACGUCUAAGUCGUAAUUGUAACAUGAAAACAAAUGUGAGCUACAGGUACUUGUGCUACUGUUGAACAUAGGUCACAAUUAAUAAGCAAACGAUUUACGUACUUGAGAUUCAUUCCUUGCGGUAAACUAUCUGAAACUCCGGCCUCAGUAUCGGCGGGUGUCGCGGCUGCAACGGGGGUCGGACCAGCUAGGGCCAUGAGGAUAGCUAGGAAAUCUCGGAGUUUUUUACAUUCUGACAUCACGUGCUGUUCGAUUUCAAGCUUCACGGUCCGGAGUCGCAUUUCAAGGAGGAUUCUUUGGUCCAACAACAGCUCUUCCACCUUCCCUCUGGUGAGGCUUGAUCCAGAUUUUCGAACUGGCCGUGUCUCCAUCGUCGACCCUCGCAUUGAAGAAGAAAUGUGUGGCGCCCGAGGUGUGGAAGACGCACCCGUCUGUCCUCUGCGGGUAUCCUCACCGUCGCUGGAUCGCUUACUGGUGUCCUCGCCACUAUCCUCGGUAUCGUCACCGUCGCGAUCACUGUCUGACUGCCGUCUCCAUCGCCAUCUCCGGACGUCUCAUCUUCAGCACUUCCUCCACUGGAGACUCCGUCGUCGGAAUCCUGCCUCGCCAACUGGCCGCCACUUCCACUGCUAGCGUGUGAUGCAUUAAACUGCGGCCUGACAACAGUCCUGACAAUGUCAUCCAGCACAGGCACGGGGGAUCAUUGUACGGCAUGAGAGUGGAAAAACACUGUUGUUCAGCCUCAGCAUCGGUGAGACGAAGUGUGGCGUACACAUGCAACUGCAAUGUAGGGUUAUACAUUAGAAAUGAGAAGGUAUAAGAUUGACACGAAACGUGAAUAACGAAACAAACACAUGUUCUAUUCAUACCUACACGUUCUUGAAGAAUGCAUCGUACGUACGAUGCUGUGGUUGUUUUCGUGCGGACCAACUAAGCAAUCGUGGCAUUCGUUCACCAACUUGCUGACCAAAAUGUUCCCCAAUCUCAGGAACUGCCUCGUAGGCCCAUACCUGUAGCAAAAAGACAAACACAAUAAAAAUAACUGAGAUUGUAGGCACGAUGCAACAGGAGGGCAAACAAAUCAAGUAUUAUACAAUAAUAUUUAAAACAUCUCUACCUGCAUGGCAAUGGGAAAGUCGUGGAUCGUGUACGUAAUCUCCUUCUCCUGCCUCCUCUUCGUCUUUUGAAAUUUUUUUGCCCAAAAACCCUGGAAUCCAUGCAACAAACGCCGAUAACCGACUCUACCCCAAGGGUAAGCAAAAGAUAAGUCUAGGUCAUCUACAAUAGAUAGUGUACGUAAUUGGAUACCAACAUUAUUAUCGGCGGCAUUGAAAACUCCUUGCAGCGAUCAGCUCGGGUCGUCGAAGGGCGAGCAAAAGUAGUUUGGAGUGGCGCCAAUCUUGUCCGGGGAUUUGAAGUACCUCUCUUUCAACAGUCUCCUCUCCAACACUCGAUCGAAGUCAUCACCCACUGGGAAUACACUGCAUCUUAACCCCAUCACAAGAGUGUAUUCUUGUAGGCCGAAUCUCAUCAGAUUGCCUUGCACGCUGAACCAAAGCUCGUUAACCUUAUCAAUGCGAAUGGUUCUGAACACUAGCUGCUGGAUGAGCUGGGCAGAGAAUUGAAUUUCUGGAACCUUGGCCAGAUACCUAAAGGGGGAGUUGCAAAAGUCCUCGCGUUGCCGAUCGUCGAAAUGGUCCAUCACGGUCUUUACGUACUUUAGGUUGUUCCAUUGCAAAAUGUGGGCCCGCAACCUUGCAUAUUUCGGAAUACAAAAAUCAAACUCCAUUUGUCCUCUGUCCUGCAAGGUGCAUUCAUAAAACUCACUGGGGUUACAUGAUAAUCAUAGACAUAUUGUAUUAUAAAUAGCAGUUUAAUGAAGCAAACUCAUGCAUGGACACAGUGAACUGUCGAGAAAAAUUGACUUCAACUGUCAGUACCGGCAGGUGAUUUGUGGAUAUCUGUCGAUACCGAUAGAUCUCCAAACAAGCAUGAAGGUUAGCUUAAGUGUCGAGAAAAACUGAGGUAAAGUGUCGGGGAUGACAGUUCACUAGGAGUUGGGUCUGCCUUCUACAGUGAGCUAUACAAGUGAACACAUAAGACAUGCAAGGACAACGAAUGAGACCAUCAUGACUUCAAGAUGAAUGCAAGGUUUGAGCGUGUAAUAAGACGUAAUUAAAACCACCAGCACUUAAGAUUUGAAACCGUGCAUGUAAAGAAUGAAAAGCUUAUUUUUCCAAAUACAUUUGUUUCCAUAAGUAAGAGUCGACAUCAUGUUGGAACAAGAACACGUUAACAAAUACCACGACAUCAAGAAAACAAAAAAUAUAACAGUAAAGAAAUGAGCUUGACCCUCUCAAAUGUUGUAAUACAAAAAUAAAACACCCAAAAAUGAGGCUGCUCCCAUUCACACAACGCAUAACACAAACCCAUGAAUUGUAAGAAAAUCAUACCGUAAUUAUCAUUGAACAAAAGAAGGAAUAGAGCAAUAAAAUCAACGAAAAUUUCCACUUACAAUAUUACCUGUUCGUCUAAUGAGUCGGUCUUUGAAUGACAGGGACGAAAAUAUAUCUCAAAAAUCUCCCUCAGCAGUAGCCCUGUAUGGUUGGAAGAAAGAAAGUGAAAAAUCCAUUCCAAUUCAAUUCAUUGUUGCAGCAUAUUCACAUACAUAUCCAUACUGAAUCAUUUUUGGUGUUUUUGUUGGCAUCUUUUUCAGUAACAAAUCUUAUAAAUAAUUUCAUUUCUCCAACACGAAAAACCAUUGGCACUUAUCAUUUCCCUUCUUUAGAGUACUUUGGUGUUUAUGAAAACUUCUCUUCAGUGGCAAUCAAGAUAUGUAAAAUUCAUUUUCAACUUUUUGUUCUUCUCAUCCUAAUGUUCAGUCUCAACUUUCAAGUAAUCCUAAAUCUUCUCAUAUUUUUGAAGUGCAACUAAUAGGUUAUAUUCCUGGGGUUUUUGUGUGUUAUGUUCCCCCAUACCAGACCAAAUGAUUCUCUAGACAUUUGUUAAGAUCCUCCACCUUCUUCUCCAGUUGUAAUAGCUCUUGUCCAGUGUGUACAAGAAGUACAAUAUCGGGAACUAAAGGUUUAUUAGAGAAGGAAUAUAACAAAUUCUCCUCAACAAAAGCAAUCAUCAGAACUGAGUAUAGAAAUACUAAACAAAUUCAACAUAAUCCCUGGACUUUGCAUCCUACUUCCAAAUUUGUUUCCUACCACAAAUGGACUUCUUCCUCUACAGCAAUUAAUAGAAAUAUAUUUUAAUGUGAUUACGUUUCAAGAAAUAUACAGGAUGCUCUACUAAUUCCAGCGUACAAAAUAGUUUCUUAUGAUAGAUGACGACAUUGAAAAGAAUGAUACAAGAUAAGUCAACACCUUCUUAUUAGGGAAGCCAGCUAGUUUUAAAUGUGUAUUUACUAUAAAAGAAAAAGCUCAUAUUACAGUUCACAAAUAUAAGGAAAGAGUUGUAGAUAAGAGGUUUGCACAAAUUUAUGAAAGUUUCCAACCUCGAAAGUUGUUCUGUACUCAUAAAUUUGAAUUCAAUAACAAUUCAAUUUUUCUCGCGUGAAUAGUCUAGAUUGGCUUCUUAACAACUUUAUGUUUUGGUAAUCAAAAAUUUUCGAAACUGCAUACGGAGUUACCUCCAAGAAUCAAAGAUACCAUGUGGUAGAAAGAAAGUGUACAAACUAAAGAACUCAUUGUACUGGCUAAAAGUGUCAUGUCCCACAACAUGCUAGCCUAUUGCAAUGUUCAACAAUGCAACUCCAUUGCAGCGUAUCUCCACAAUUGAAAUUAGCUCACCAUUUCCCAUACAACACGUUAAACGUAGAUCCUCUUUAAUUCACUAAUAUUUAAUAUAAUAAAAUCUAUCACUGUAAACUGUAUUACAAAAAAGCGAUAUCCAUUCAAUAUGAAUAUGACUCAAUACAUAUUUAACCAAUAAAUGUGAUUACAUGUGUCGCAACUACUAAAAUUCCAUAUACAUUUUCACAUUUUUAAGUUCAUUAACGUAGUGUAGUUGAAAAUGAUGUUACUGAAAUAAGAAGACUGAAGGGAACGCAGCCUACAGAGUUUCAUACUAAAAUGUAGGAAAUGUAGAUAAUUUUUUCUGGAGUUCAAAUGACAAGAUCUAGUAAAAAUAUGUGAAAAUUACAGUAUUUUGCAUUUGUUCAAAGAAAAAUGUACGUCGGGUUGCAAACAAUGACAUACGCCAAUCGAUCCUAAAUCAGAGAAAUAGCACAAACAAUAGCAAUAUUCAAUGUAAACCAUAUCCUAAUUUUUUAAACCCUACAUCUAAUAUUACUAACAGCGAAACUCUAAAAGUGGAAAAUUUGUCGAUUCUCAAAAUAUACUAUACCGAAGGAAACAAAUUCCAACCAUCUUAUCGCUAUUUUCUGGCGGCGGAUGGAAAAAUAGCUAAGAAACAAGUGAGAGGUCAAAAGAUGGGUGGAUUUACCUUCGCCUUUAUUCGGUUCUUCUGACAAUCGCACUGGAGAAGACGACCCUUGGACGUUGUGCUCAGCUUCGACCGAUUCAAAUGACAAUGGGGGUCACUUCGUCGUCGACGAUGAAGGUCGUCUAUGUGGUCGUCCACGGCAGGGAGUGAGGUCGGCAAUUCCAAAGAGAGGGUGGACAAUUUCGGUGAGAGAGCGUUUGGUCCGUUUGGCUUCCACCUCCUUCGUCUUCUUUUUUUUUCUUUGUUUUGGUUCAACUUUACACAACUCCUUCCUGACACAAUUUUUGUCGAGUCAAAUCAUCUCAUUAAAUGUAAGACAAGUAAGGUAUUGAAUUUCUGCAAAGGGGCAAAAUUGUCCAAAUUUAUCACAAAAUACCAUAUUUGCAAUGACUUAAAAAAGAUGACAUUUUUGUAACUAAAAAUCAAGAUUUUGACAUCCACUGUAAUUUCCACUUAAAGUAAUAAAGUCAAGCUUUUGCCAGAGGGACCAAAAGGAAGAAAACAUGGGAUCCCCUAUAAAAAGAUAAAACUCAGCUACCACUAGCUCUGCUUUCAUCCUUGCCCGCCACGUAGAUAGGCACAAAGCCAGUUGAGGGCUUGAAUCCAAGCAUAGAGCUGUCCCUGAGCGCCAAAGGUCUUUUGUUUUUGGAAAAAAAUUUACUAACUAAUGUACAAGAAACUAAAAAAAAAAAAAAUAUUAUAGUUCAAUGACAAAUUCUCGUUUACCUUCGUUUUAAUUCUACAUAAUUAAGUGUGAAGACAACUGACAGUAAAGAACUCAUUUUGCCGAUGGAGUUUAAGGAACCGUCACGAGAGAGUAGGUUUUGUAUUCGCCUUUAUUGCAGCGUUCAUUUUGAAGUGUUACUUUAUAGUUUUAUAUCUGUUGCAGGUUUGCGUGCAUGACUUGAAGCAAUUUAUGUUAUCUUGUUCAUCUUAAUAUUAGGGAGAAUUGGAUAGUAUCAAAGAAGAAAUACAAUCUUGUAUACUAUUUUGUCCAGUCAAUUUCAAUGAGUAGUACAAAACAUGCAUUAAAUGUUUUGUCAUGUGUUCGAACUGUCUGAUGCAUAUUUCAUCAUACGGUUUGUUGGGCAAAAGCACUUGAUAUAUGAAGAUUAAGGGUGACUCCCUGGAUUGACUUUCCACUACAAAUCAUUCCCUUGAAGGACGAGCUCGUGGAAUAGACUUUUAACACGUUUGUAUUAAUUUUGAAGGGCGUGUUGUCUGACCACAAUGUGGAUAUGUUACAUAUAAUUAAUAGUCGAAUGUGCACAGUGCAAAAUCCACAUUUGCUUGCUCGAGUCAUUGUCAAAGAAUUUCAAAACCAUUACAUGCACUUAGCUAUUUAUCUUAUGGAGGCAGUAGAGUAACUUACCUUUGCGUACUCACACACAUAAGUAGCAAGCACGUGAAAGAUUGAACCCAGUAGACUAACUUUCAUAGACAACAAUGUCCAACAAGCCCGCAUUUUUCCAUCUAUUUGAGUACAAAAGUGUUAACCAACCUAGUACACUUAACUUUAUAUUACUGAGCAAAACCAGUUAGAAUAUCAAAUCCAUAGCCUAGAAUCAGCAUGACAAUAAUAUCCUAUUGCUGAACAAGAAUUUGAAACCAAACACAAAGAUGCUUAGGAAUUUCUGGUGCAGGCAAUCAUUUUAAGAACAAUUCAACAAACACAAUCCCUUUGUUAAGUACAUUGGACCAGCCAGGCCGUUCAAAAAUGAACGUUUCAGACCCCCCCCCNNNNNNNNNNNNNNNNNNNNNNNNNNNNNNNNNNNNNNNNNNNNNNNNNNNNNNNNNNNNNNNNNNNNNNNNNNNNNNNNNNNNNNNNNNNNNNNNNNNNNNNNNNNNNNNNNNNNNNNNNNNNNNNNNNNNNNNNNNNNNNNNNNNNNNNNNCCCCCCCCCCCCCCCCGUGGUUAACACCAACAUAUUCACAAGCUCAUGAAUCAAUCCAUACUUCAAUUAACAUAUGUCCAAAUCAAGAAGUACCCAUCCUAUGGCUAAAAGAAAAGCACCAAAAUUGCUACGCACCAAACAUUUCUCCAGUAUACUAAAGUUAGAACCAUCACUAAAAGAAGAAAUUGUCACCUCAAUAUUUCUUGAAAUUUAGCUCUUCAUCAAUUAACCAGAACAAGAGUUCACUUGUUUAAUUCUAUUCACAUAUCUAGCAUAAUCCAACUAACAAAGACAACAAAAAUUUGAAAAUUGAAAUAAGCACAACAUAAACAAAAUACUACUUCAACUAAAGCUUGCUUGAACUAACAUCUAGCUCUCAAAAACCCAGGUUGCAAAUGAAGUCUUCUGUUUUUUUGUUUCUCGUAUUUCCUUUCAUCUAAUCUUCAUCAGCAGAUGGCUUUGAUGAACCACCAGCCUUCUUAGGCAGCAAAAGGUUAUGAAUGUUUGGCAUCACGCCACCAUUGGCAAUUGUAACAUCCCCAAGAAGCUUGCUCAGUUCCUCAUCAUUCCUCACAGCCAAUUGAAUGUGCCUUGGAACUAUCCUAGUCUUUUUGUUGUCCCUUGCUGCAUUUCCAGCCAAUUCCAACACCUGCGUAGCCAAAAGCCCAAAAAUUAAAUUUUAUAAACAAACAUUUCAAACACAAGAAUUUGGGGGAACCAAUUUACUUCAACUUCAGAGCAUAUGGAAGAAAUGUAAAACCGGAACACAUGAAAAAAAAAUUUACAAUCCAUAUAAUUGGAUAUUCCAAAUAGAAAACGAUUUAAAAGGAAUUAGAAAGUCAAAAAAAUAUGAUUAGUUGUCAAUGAAAACAACGACCAUGAUUAGAAAGAAUCAGAACCAUUUCAUGUCCAGAAAUUUAAAAAACGGAUUUUUAUUGUGGGAAAACAGAGAAACAGAUUUAAAACUCGUCGGCAGUCUAGGAAAAAUUUUGAAACCCUAGAUUUGUAAACCCUAAGAACUCGAUCUUCUAAAUAAAAGCAAAUUGACAUUAAUAUUCUAUUACCUCUGCAGCAAGGUAUUCAAGAACGGCGGCGAGGUACACAGGAGCUCCGGCGCCAACACGUUCUGCAUACUUCCCAGCCUUGAGAAAACGGGCAAUACGACCCACGGGAAACUGGAGCCCCGCCUUGCUGCUCCUUGAUUGGGCCUUCUUCGCAGCCCCAGAUCCAAGAGUCUUGCCCCUGCCGGCCAUUUGAAUUGCAACAGAAAUUAACAAUGAAAGCAGAUGGAUUCUCGACUAUAGGAAAUACAGAAAAGCAAGUAUGAAAGGAAGAAGGUUACGGUUGCUUAUAUAUUGGUUGGAGGUCUGAAUAUGGACCAAUACGAUGGAAGGAUACGGAUCGUGGAUUUUAGCCGUUGAUAAAGAAAUUGAAUGGACGGCCAGAUUCAAAACCCAGUUCUUGUGUCGGAUUUCACCGCCUGAGAACUUUGGUGUUUUUUUAAAUCACUAUUUUAGCCCUUAUUGUUUACCGGGUGGAAACUGGGAAUUAUCCUACCGCAUUUUUUAAACAAUCUUGCUACAGGUACAGGAGAAUUUUGACAGAAUACUUAUAGAACACUUACAGUUCGAGGGUCCACACACAUUUUUGACAUUUUUUAUACAACAUGGAACCCACAUACUUAUCUCUAUUUUGUCAAAAAUCUGUCAAAAUAAAUCUGUACCCUCAAAUUUAUUCUUUUUUAAAUUUUUGCAUCACAUUGCUAUUAGGAAAAAUUGCAAUCGAGGUACCAUACCUUUCAUUUAUUAGCAGAUUUUGGCCAACCCUUUAAUUUGUGCCACCCAUGAUACCAAACCUUUCAAAAACUCGCAGUAAAAAUCCAAAUGGAUGGAAAUUGUUAAUUUGACUAGUAGUUAACCAAAAAUGUCAAAGUUUGACCAAUUUUGACCAAAUUAAAAAGGACAAAAUGGUAACUAUACAAUUUUCUCACAUUAAAGAAUUAAAAUAUUAAAUCAAAAAAUAAAAAUAAAAAUAAAAAAUCCUACAGGCUACAGUGAUCCUAAUUCAAACUCACGCCUAACCUAAAACCACCACCGUCAUCCACCACCAUCACUACAACGACUGCCACCACCACCAAAUCUACAGCCACCAUCUUCACUACCUAAUAGAACCCAAGCGAAAAAUCAUAUUCAAAUCCAAAAUUUCAUCUCCCCAUUCACUGCAAUCGUUACUACUUCACUCCGAACUCAAACCGAAAAUCCUCAUUUUCAAACGCGGUUGAUGGACCUCCGGCACGACCAAUGACGUCAAAGCUCAAUUGCAGUGCCCAUUCGACAAUCGCAAAGCUGAAUUACAUCGUUGUGAAAACUCGACUCCCAUUCCCAUUCCAUAGCCAGCAGCAUCGUUGGAGAUCUGAGCAAAAGAUAACAAAAAAAUGGAACUCAACAAUGAUUCUUGGUGCUAAAGAUGAGUAUUCAUGUAUGAGAUUUGAAAUAGAAAAAUGGGCAGAGCAUUGUGCACACUGAAUCUUCAUCUCCUUCUCCUAAUUUGAUAUUUUUCUCUGUAGGGCUCUUGAUUAAACUUACGCGUGGAGGAUUAUAGCAGGGUAGACAAAUGUGGGUGGUGCUUGUGUGGAUGGUUUGGUGGUGUGUGGUGGCUAAAUGCGGUCUGCGGCCAGAGUCGGUGGACUGUGUGGCUAGGGUUGGUGGUGUUAUUGCUGAAUUUGGUUGGGUGAGGUGAGGGAAGGGGGUGGGUUGAAGGAGAUAAAGAAUUUGUGGAUGUUGUUUGUGUGGAUGGUUUGGUGGUGUGUAAGUGAAUGGAGAAGAAGAUGAAUAGUAUUUUUGUGUUUUGAUUUAAUUAUUAAUAUAUUGUAAUUAUUAUUUUUUGUUGAAAAAUGUAAAGUUACCAUUUUAUCUUUUUAAUUAGUCAAAAUAAUGGUCAAUGUUAAAUUUUUGGUCAACUAACGGUCAAAUUAACAGUUUCCAUCCAUUUGGACUUCCACUGCGAGUUUUUGAAAGAUUUGGUAUGUGGGUGGCACAACCUAAAGGUUUGGGCAAAGUCUGCUAAUAAACGAAACGUUUGGUACCUCGGCUGCAAUUUUCCCUUGCUAUUAUUAUGAUGAUUAUCAGCAACAAUCAUAUUAAUAGGAUGUGCCUCGAAUCAUCUCUCUAUCUUAAAAAAUCCUCACGAGCACAACAGAAGAUAUUUGGGGGUCGUCUUUUCCAAAUCAAAUUUGGGGCUUUCUUGAAUGCAUAAAUCUUUUAAGAGCUUCGACCCUCGAAUAUCAUAUGACGAAGAUAGGUGCUAAUGAUAAUUUAUGAUGUGUAAAAGAUGUAGAAAUACUCUAAAGAGUAAAGGCGUACUCUCUAGAGAGCCAGCCAACAAUGCUUAGCACCCAUAUGGUUCUAAUUUUCUAGGCCAAAAAAUCAAAUUUUCUUAUCGUUAUUUAACAUGAUCAGCUGUCAUUUUUUACAUCUUCACUCAUAGGUGAGACCCACUUUUCUAUCAAACAGUCAAAAAAUCGAUUCUAAGAACUAGUACCAAACGGUGUGUGUCUAAUUAGCGAUUUUUCCUUUGAAUAAAUAUAAGUUUAUAUACAUUUCAUAUGAAAAUACUUGAAGAUAACUUAAAAAUAGAUUACAAUCAUGCUUUUAAUCCUCCAAGAUAUUAAAAAAUAAACUAUACCGUUAUAUCCCUCUCUAUCGGUCAAAAAAUUGUAAUAAAAUACAUUUUCGGGGGAUUUGAGUUUAUCAUGAAUCAAUUGAUUUCUUUGCAAAAUUGUGCUCAAUUUCUUAUGUGGGAAUUCCGCCAAGAUUUCUUAUUUUGGGGGAAGAAACCGCACGAAUCGAGUUUUUUGAAGAGUGUAUUGAGAGAGAAAUUGUGUCUACAAGGUAGAUAGCUUACAAUAUAGCUCGUCAGCCACCACAUUGGUUAUCUAGUGCAGCCACCACAUUGGUUAUCUAGUGCAUCAGCCUUACUCUAAUAAGUCCAAGAGGUAUGCCCCUUCAAUUAGAAGGCUCCAUAAGUUGAGACACCCGGAGCGUAUUAUAUUAACGGAAGGGGAAUUUACACAAAUGUCACUAAAAUUGAAAAUGCAAAAAAAAUUUGGACAUUCACCAAUUUCUUCCAAGAAUGUCAAUUUUUCCCUACAAAAUGUCCACUUUACCCUUUAACACCUUUUUGGAGCAAUAAAUGCUUGAUUUGAAUGCAAUUAAUCUUAUGAUGUGAUUAAUUUAUUUUUGCUUUAAAUUUAAUAUUGAAGAUAUGAUAUUAUAUUGUAUAAUAAGAUUUUUUUUGAUUAAAAAAAGGGUGAAAUCUUUACAAAAUACACACACACACACAUAUGAAUUGAAAGAGCUUCUUCUUCUUCAUCAUCUCCACUCCAUCAUCAACAAGGAAAUAAGGAAAGCCAUUGACAAAUUUGAAAGGUGAGGUAGUAGAAAAAAGUUCAUCUCAUGUCAUAGUUGACUACUUUAAAUGUUCAAUACAAUAUGAUCAUAUUUAAAUGAACCCUUUCAAUCUCUUAUUCAUUGAUGUAGUUAAUUUUUGGUAUAUUUUAGAAAGAAAAAUUAUACCAAUAUUAUAUAGAAAAUGUGAAGUAUUCCAUAUAUAAUUCAACAUUUAAUGAAGCAUUAAGUAAUACCUUGUUCAUUUCUAAAAAGAUACAGUGAUAUGUAGUUCAGAAUUUAUUAUGGCCUUUAUCGUUUUCAAUAAAUUCGUCAAACAGUGAAGCACUUGGAAUUUAUCUUUCUCGAAAGUUAUGGCAGUAGAACUGUCGAGCAGUAUCUUGGAAACUGUCGUGUUAGACAUUUUAACUGUCGAACUCGACAUUUACUGACUGUCGUGAUAGAAAAUGUAAUUGUCGAUUUCGACACUUGAAAACUGAUCAUCUUUUAUAUCUUUGGUAGUAUAUGGAUGUAAGUAUUUUCGUGUGCCAAUUUGAUGUUAUGAAAUGUCGACAUAUGAAUGUGCAGAAUUCUCACUUUUGCAGUCCCAACAUUUCAGGUAUGAGUCAUGAUUUCAGAUUCAUCGUGUCGCAUGGAGGAAACUUCGUUCACUCAGAUGAUGAAUGGAAGUGGAGAGGGGACAAAACCACUUCCAUUUUAGUGUCGAGAAGUAUUACCGUAGCAGAACUUGUGUUACGAUUAAAGGAGAAACUUGGUAUCGUUGAAUCCCGCAAUGUAAUCGAAUUGAAGUUCAAAGUCCCGAACUUGAAUCUACCUCCGGCAGAGAUACGCGACGAUGAGGAUCUACAGUGGUACAUAUCUGUUCACAAGGAAACUGCACUAUGCAUGACAUAUUUGGUAUCCGAGCUCCCGAUUGUUGGUAUGGCAACAGAUGCAAAUUGUGAAGGGAACUUGUUCGGCCCAACGGAAUGUCCACUGAAUGUACAACAUGACGAGAUGAAUCAUCAGCACAGUGUGUCGCAAACCGAACCACCUGAACCUCCAAUUGAGCGUAUAGAGGCUGCAGCAUCCGUCGAACACUUAGAGAACCCAUUACAUGGUACAGAUCGUGCUAUUAUUGCUGAAAUAGACGAGACAAUGUCAUCAAAUUCCAGACGUUCGUGCACAGAUGAGUGGAUUACAGCUGCAAAUACAUCGGUUCUCGUCGAGAAGCAAAUAUUCUUUACCAAGAAACAGUUGUACUCGAAGCUUCAUGUACUUGCUUUGCAAGAGAAGUUCCAAUUUCGGGUAAGCAGGUCAAGCUUGAAAAUGUUAACAGUUGUCUGUGUGGAUGAUAAUUGCUAGUGGAUGCUACGUGCUUCUACUAUCAAGCAAUCUGCAAUCUUCAUGAUCCGUAAGUUCGUUGCAGUUCACACAUGUUCCCUUGAUUUUCGUCGUAACGCACAUCGGCAUGCCACUAGUGCUGUAAUUGCGGAGCACAUUUUGGGAAAAUUGGAUACUCCAUAUAGAUCAUAUCCGCCUACUCAUAUUGCACGUGAUAUGGAACAUGAGUUUGGUGUGAAAAUCAGUUAUAACAAAGCACGUAGGGGGAAGCUCCAUGCCUUAAAUAUGCUACAUGGUACACCAAGGGACAGUUUUCAGAAAUUAUCUUCGUACUGUCACGUCGUAGGAGAAAGUAACCCGGGGACCGUUACCCACAUCGAAGUUGAUUCUUGUAAUAGGUUUUGUUACUUCUUCGUAGCUUUUGGUGCAAGCAUUCGUGGAUACAUGCAGUACUUGAGACCCGUUAUUUGUGUUGAUGGCAGUCACUUGAAAGGUUCAUACAAAGGUACACUCCUAGUGGCAACUGCCCAAGAUGGUAACAAACAGAUUUAUCCGUUGGCAUGGGGGAUCGUGGAUGCUGAAACCAAUAAAUCGUGGAAGUGGUUUUUGUCGAACUUGAAAGACCUUAUAGGGGAUUCCAAAGAACUCGUGUUCGUUUCAAACAGGAAAAAGAGUAUUCAGAAAGCUAUUUCUCAGUUGUUUCCGUCGUCUCGGCAUGGUUGUUGUAUAUGGCAUAUGGAAAAGAGCCUAAUACAGCGGUAUAACAACGCAAGCCUAUUAUUUCUAUUCAAACAAGCUGCUGCAACUUUUCGGGUCGAGGACUUCGAACGACUCAUGGGACAGAUUCAUAGAGUGAGGGAAAGAGCGCACGGGUACUUAGAGCGAGCGGGAUAUUCAUUUUGGUCCAGAGCACUAUUUAUUGGACACCGUUACAAUAUUAUGACAAACAACAAUGCAGAGUCGUUGAACUCGAUGUUGAGACAAGCCCGGUCGUUACCGAUAACCUGCUUGGUUGAACACAUUCGGAGUACUAUGCAGAAGUGGUUUUACGAACGUCGAGCAAAUGCGGAAGAAUGCAGUACCUUAUUGACACCAAGGAUGAAGAACGAGCUACGGACGACUUUCGAAAAUGGAACUAGGCUUCGAGCCCAUGUCCUGACAAACAACUUGACGCAGGUUGGAAUAUCCAACGACACGGACAUAGUUAACUUGUCCGAAGAAACCUGCACAUGUCGUAAGUUCCAACUAAACCGCAUGCCAUGUGUUCAUGCAAGUCGUGCUGCUCGCUUUAGAGGGAAGACGUUGUACGAGCUUUGCUCCCGUUAUUAUUUAUUGGACUACUGGAAGGGUGCCUACAGCGAAACUAUAUAUCCUGUUCCGAGGAGAGUGGAUUGGGUUGUUCCGAGCUUAAUUACAUGUACUCCUAUUUUCCCACCACUCGUACGUCGUCCUCCAGGUAGACCACCAACCCGCCGUACGCGUUCUAAGUAUGAGUAUGCAUGGUCUACCAGAAAAUGUACCCGCUGUGGUAGAGUUGGUCAUAAUCGGACCACGUGUUCAAACCCCCGUGUAUCACAUGCUUCUUAAAGAUUUGCAGGUUAAUAGACGUUGUAUGUUAAUUAUUCCGUACUACAUCGAACAUUAUGAAGUUAUGAUUUACAGUUUGUGAUCAUUAAUGUUCUUGCAUGUUGCGCAUCCUGUUGUGCACAUAAAAAGUUCGCUAUCUGUCCAGCACGUAGUAAACAUCCCGCCUAGUUCAAAUGUCGGUCCCGAUAGAUGUGUUACUUAUUCUCGACAGUUGACGGAACCUUGCACUGCACUCACGGUCUGCGUCACACAUACAUGUUGUGACCUCUAAACACAAGAACGGAAAAUGUUUGAUACUUUACAUAUAUUUUUUUUUUCAUUUCGAAACGCAAUCUUCUAUCCCCUUACAGAUUUACUAUCAUUAGCAUCAUCUUAAAUCGAAAUUAAAGGUAGUGCAAAACGCAAUCUUGAAUCUCGAAGAAAUGUACAAUCAUUUGCGUCAUCGUAAAUCAUGGAUUAAAGUUAGUCCAUGAUACACACCUUUCACAAUAGCCGUUUUACAUACUGCAAAAUACAUAACUAUUUUUGUACAUAUUAUCCUUACUGCCCGACAGUUGACAUGUCGUACCCGACAGAUAGUCUCAGUAAUUCUUGACAGUUCGACCGAAAAACGCAAAAAAACAUGACACGAAUUGCAUGUUAGGGACAUGUUCGCGUUGACUUUUUGGUAUUGUCUUAACUAAAGUCAUCCCUACAAAAUACCUUACUAUACAGUACUUAUUCACUACAUUCCAUGGGUGUCACUUUAGUCGUCGUCCACAACUGAACCACCGUCCCCGCUAUCCUCACCUGACUUGUCGGAAGAGAUGAUAAUUACCGCAUUUGGGGGAUCGUACACCAUCCAGUCGUCCUCAUCGUCGGAAUCCCCCUCGUAUUCGGAAUCCAGCUCGAACUCCUCAUUGAGGACUCCAUUCGGUGAUUGCGCACCCUCGUUGGAAACAACUUCUAAAUUGGGAAAAGAAACGGGGAAAAUGGCUCCCCUCCCAAUACGAGGGUUAACUUCCUCCUCAUCUGACGAAAUAUAAAUUGGAAAAAGCGGAGAUGAACCAAGAACUGGCAGUGGCUCGUUCAUGUUCAACGGUUCGUUGCUUCCUGUGGAAGAACUCAUUACGUGAACGUAUAGUAGUACUGAAGGAAUGAUAAGUGUCUGUGAGAAGGUGAAUGGGUGACAAUGGUCUUGAAGGAACUUGUUUGUAAGUGAGAAUGAAGUCCCACAGUAUUUAUAAGCUAAUUGAAGGGGAAACAAUUAUGGUCUCCACUACCCAACCACCAAGUCCAAUCGCCUUGUAAAUUUGAAAUGCACUUUGUAUGAUGGUUGAAUAAAUGAAGUGUACCUUUAUCCCUCAUUUCCCCAUACUUAGUACAAUGUUAAACACUCUUUAAUCAUGUGCACAAUUAAGGAAAUGUCCAUAUCUGCAACAAAAAACUGCUCAAUCAAAUUGCUACUUUUAAUUUGCCAUGGUUGUAAUGGUAUAGUUUCUCACACGUACGGGUCAUCAUCGCAACACACAUGGAAGACGAACAACGAAAUAAUUAUUUUUACUCAAUUUAUUGAUUUAUGAAUUACUUUUACCAUGGUUGUCAUGCUCUUGACACUUGUAAUGACUCAUCUUCUCGUUGCAUCUCAUGUAUGUGCCUUAAUGCCUUACUUUGAGAAUUUAUCAUAAUAAUAUCGUCCCAGAUUAAAGCUAUAGUGAAGACUAGAUAUAAUUAGAACAACAGAUAAGUACAUACAUAAGCACGCAACGAAAAAUAUGAGCACAUACCUGCACAUGUAUUUAAAGCAUAUUAUGACAGUGUUUACAUCAUAUUAUGUCCACUAGAUAAAUUUAUCAAAUAUAACAUUCACUAAAACAUUCGCUAUUUAACAUAAGCAACACGGGUGUAAGAAGCGUAACACAAAUUAGAAAAUCUUAAAGACUCGAAGUAUAUUACUACGUCUAUAAUAAGAUUGGAUCGAAUAUCAACAAUAUCAACAAAACAGUACUUACAAAGCAUUUUGGAAAAUUGACAUGUUGCAUACGCUUGUUCCCCUCCUCCAAAAGAAAAUAAGCGCACACAAUAUGUCCAACAAAAAUAUAUACCGAACAACAAAAUGAACCUGACUGAUACAAUCAACAAAGUUAAAAUACCAGACACAAUUCAUAAACACUACAACUACCGAUCAGCCAAGCAACAUAAAAUAUGAGGAAUUUGUCCACGUAUCACCACGGUACACAAGAGUAAUUAAAAUGUAAUGUAAAACGAAUUCAAACAAAAGUUAUUUAUCCAACAAGUUAACAUCCGUCACCACCUCCACCAAAUCGCUGACAGGGUAUUACCAACUACAACACCACCGUCGUUCUAUCCCGACAGUUCAUACUCCUUUUACUUCUUUGUUCGCUUCGCCGCCCUUGUAUACGGAGUCCUGGCCGCAGGAGCUAGACGUCGCACCUGUGCCGAGCACCAACUCGUCGUAGGAACUCCGUGUCCUGGUUCGGCUACACUGGUAGGAAUAGGGACUUCAGCGAGAUCGCCUACGAGAAUUCAAAAGGAGGGGGGAGUUAGUGACCAUAAAUGCCCUUCACGUACCAUACGUAACAUACAAUAAGUGAUGCAGAGAAUGAACUUACCAUCACCAUCCGUAACAUCGUAACCCUGUAAGUCGGCAUCGUUGCUCGGGGCCGCAUGUGAGGGUUCCAUGGCUCCUCCAUCUGAUGUUACAACACAUAUGUAACUGCAUAUGUGUACGACAUUUGCAGUUGGAAGAUAAUGGAAGCGUACAGGAAGAAAGAAAAUGAGAAAAAUAAUUCCCAUCGAAUAUAGUAGGGAAAAAUCGUAGCACAUGACAACGUACCUAUCUGUUCGUCGGUUGCUACGGGCAGUGGGUCGUGUACGUUGUCCGGGCGAGCCGCGAUGUCUCCUCCAUCUGUUGAUGAGAACAUGAAAACUGUGUGAAUACAUUAGGUUUCCCAACUUCCACAACAUACAAAGUCCGUCAAAUAACAAGUUUCAAUGCGCUCAUAAAUAACCUACGUACCUUGUACAUGUGCAGUUCCUGUAUCUGCUCGCAUGUCUCGCUCGUCCAGGGAAGGCUCCAUUUCUCCUCCAUGUAUUUCUAACUCACAAUUGUCGUAUGGAAAAAAAUGUGAACUACAGGUGCAUGUGCUACUGUCGAACAUAGGUGAAAAAUAUAAACCAAACGGUUUAUGUAUUGAACGUUCAUACCUUGCGAAAUACUACCUGAAACUCCAGCUUCGGUAUCGACGGGCAUCGCGGCUGCAACGGGGGUCGGAGCAAGUGGGGCCACGAGGGUAGCAAAGAAAGCUCCGAGUUUUUUACAUUCGGAUGUCACGUGCUGUUCGAUUUCAAGCUUGACGGUGCGGAGUCCAUUUCAAAGAGAAUUCUUUGGUCGAACAACAGCUCUUCCACCUCCUCUUUGGUGAGGCCUGUCCGGAUGUGCCAACUGGCCGUGUCUCCAUCGUCGACCCUCGCACUGGAGAAGAAACGUGGGUCGCUGGAGGUGUGGAAGAUGCACCGGUCUGCCCUCUACAAGUAUCCGCACCGACGCUGGAUCGCUCACUGGCGCCCUCGCCACUCUCCUCGGUAUCGACACCUUCAUUUCCAGACAUCUCAUCCUCACCACUUCCUCCACUGGAGACUCCGUCAUCGGAUUCCUGCCUCACCAAUAGGCCGCCAUUUCCACUACCUCCGUGUGAUGCAUUAAACUGCAGCCCCACAACAUUCCUGGCAAUCUCAUCCAGCACAGGCACCGGAGGAUCAUCGUACGGCACGAGAGUGGAGAAAUACUGCUGUUCCGCCUCAACAUCGGUGGGACGAAGUGUGGCAUAGAUAUGCAACUGCAAUGUACGGUUAUACAUUAGAAACGAAAAGCUUUAGGAAUGACACGAAACGUGAAUAACAAAAGUAACACAUGUGGUAUCCAUACCCGCACGUUCUUGAAGAAUGCAUCGUACGUACGAUGCUGUGGUUGUUUUCGUGCGGACCACCUAAGCAAUCGUGACAUUCGUUCCCCAAUCUCGAGAACUGCCUCGCACGCCCAAACCUGUUCCAUCAAGACAAACAGAAAUAAAAUAACUGAGAUGGUACGCACGAUGCUACAUGAUGGCAAACAAAUAAAGCAUGAUAUGCUACUAUUUAAAACUUGUGUACCUGCAUGGCAAUGGGAAAGCCAUGAAUAGUGUAUGUAACCUCCUUCUCUUGCCUCCUCUUCGCCUUCAGGAAUUUCUUUGCCCAGAAACCCCGAAAUACGUGCAGCAAACGCCGAUAGCCGACUCUACCCCAAGGGUAGGCAAAAAAAGAUAUCUAGGUUGUCGACAAUAGAUAGUGUACGCAAAUCAAUUCUGACGUUAUUAUCAGGGGCAUUGAAAACUCCUUCGACUAUUAGCACGAGUCCUAGCUUGUAGCGAUUGGCUCGGGUCGUCGAAGGUCGGGCAAUAGUAGUUUGGAGUUGUGCCAACGAUAUCUUCUCCAUGGAUUUGAAGUACCUCUCCUUCAGCCUUCUCCUUUCCAGCACUCGAUCGAACUCAUCACCCUCCGGGAAUACACCGUAUCUUAAUCCCGUCACAAGGGUGUAUUCCUGUAGACCGAAUCUCAUCAUGUUGCCUUGCACAUUGAACCAGAGCUCGUUAACCUUGUCAGUGCGAAUGGUUCUGAACACAAGCUGCUGGAUGAGUUGGGCAGAGAAUUGAAUCUCUGCAACCUCGGCCAGAUACCCGAAGGGGGAGUUUCGAAACUCGUCGCGCAGUCGAUCAUCGAAAAGGUCCAUCACUGUCUUCACAUACUUCAAGUUGCUCCUCUGCGAAAUGUGGGCCCGCAACCUUACCUCCUCUGGAAUAAAAUAAUCAAACUCCAUCAGUCCUGUAUCCUGCAAGAUGCAUUCAUAAAACUCACUGGGGUUACUGGAUAAACUUAAAGAUAUUGUAUCAUAAAUAGCAAUUUAAUGAAACACACUAAUGCAUGGACACACUCAAUUGUCGAGAAAAAUUGACUACAACCGUCGGUACCGACAGAUGAUCUGUCGAUACCGACAGUUGAUGUCCAAACAUGCAAGAAGGUUGGCCUAAUUGUCGAGAAAACCUGAGCUCUACUGUCGGGAACGACAGUUCAGUGGGAGGCAUUGAACUUCUAAAUCAUUGCUAAAUCACUUCCAAUUACGUAAAAUCUCUCUAAGAUAACUAUGUGGGUCGUCAAAAGCUAUCCAUUCAUAUAUAGAAUACUGGAUUUUAUAGCCAUCACAAAACAAACUGUUCAGAAAUAAAGCAACUAACAAAAAAAUAAAGGAAAAGACAUAAACGAAUGCAAGCACUUUUUCACAAAACUAAUAUCAUUCCAUCAUCCAACCCAAUUCACAAAUACUAGAAGCAAAUCACGAAACGUUGUCAGACUCCAAAUAAUUUCAUGUACAAUACAACACUCAGGUAAUACAUGAUUUUAAAUCAAUUCAUCAAACACAAGAUGAAUAGGUCAUCUAACUAAUCUUGAUUUUAGUAAAAAGUAAAAUAUUGAAACAUUACAGAACUCAAAAUUUCAACAUAACUAAGAAAACAUAAACGAUAUAGCUUUGAGCUUCACCUUCUUCAACAACAUAAAUUAUGUAUCCGAAAUCACAGAUUCACAAUUCACAUUUGAAUUCCAAAUUGCCAAUUAAAUGAGAACAUAAAUCAUAACUCAUAGAAGUCAUAAAUAUAAAAUUACAGCAAAACCAAAACACAAUUUUCAAAUUGUUAUAAAACAAGACUGAGCUAGACAAACUCAAAACUGCACCUCAAACUCAACAAUACCAAUCACUUCAAAGUAAACCAAAGUAAGCAACAUUUUAUUCCUUCAAUGAAAUUAAGAAUCCAUCAAAACCCCCUUUGCAAACGCCACUUCAAAUUCUCCACUUACACAAUAUAGAAAUUAUAGCUUCUUAUUAUAGUAUGCAUCCAUACAACUGAACUCAUUAUUGCACACAUGAACACACGUUAAGAAAUCACAAAAUUUUAUGGAAUCCUUGUUCAAUUAUUUGUUCAACAUUAAUAUUAUCAUAUAACAAAAUAUAUAUCUAGCUUCAAUAAGAACAAAAAAUAUGUUCAAUAAAGUAUCGCACCCACUAUUCAACAAAGAGUCACACCCACUAUUCAACAAAUAUCGAACACAAUGCUUCACAGGGAAGGGAAAACAUACGUGUUAAACUCAAUAACAAAAAAUCAGAAAUAACCAUUCAGAAUAAACAAUCAAUGGACGGCCAUCUUAAACCCUACAUCUCAUUUUACAUACUGCGAAAGUGUAAAACUGCAAAAUUUCCCGGUUCUCAAAAUGCACUAUACAAAAGAUGGGUGGAUGGGUAGAUGCCUAUGAAAAAAGUGAGAAGUCAGAAGAUGGGUGGAUUUACCUUCGCCUUUGUUCGGUUUCUCUGGCAGUCGCAAGGGAGAAGACAGCCUUCGACGUUGUGCUGAGCUUCGGGCGAUUCGACUGACAAUGGGAGUGAUUUCGACGUUGAUGAUCGUCGUCCAAGGCUGGGAGUGAGGUCGGCGAUUGCAAAGAGAGGGUCGGUGAUUUCGGUGAGAGGCGCUUCGAUGUUUGGCUUUCUCUUCCUUCAUCUUGCUUUUUUUUUCUUUGUUUUUCUUCUCCUCACACCUCCUACCUGACACAAUUCUGUCUAGUCAAAUCUACAAUUAGUGCAAAACCUGUAAGGUAUUACAUUUAUGCAGAGGGGUAAAUUAGUCCAAAAUUUUCAUAAAUUGCCAUAUUUGUAAUGUCAGAAAAAGGAUGACAUUUGUGUAACUAAAAAUCAAGAUUUUGACAUGUGGUGUAAUUUCCACUUAACGGAAUAAUGAGAUUCAACCAUGUUGCUGAUUUCCUCUUUUUGAAAUUAUUAACUCAGAAUGAUCAAAUAGGACAGGCUAAACCUAGGACACAAGAGAGAAUUAAGUAGGAAAGAAAAAGUAGCAUAAAUAAACAUUUGACGGAGUUUUCCCUCGAAAGGACUACCUUAAAUCAUCUAGAUAACUACUUAUAGUACUAUAACUACAUUCAAUUCAUCCUUGAAGUCCUAUUUGUCUCAUUUUUUUCAGGCUGGAGAUGUGGGAUGGAUAGGAGGGUGAAUCUCCUCUGGAAACAGAUGUAAUAGCCAUUCCAUUGCAUUUAUUCCAGGCAAAAUUACUUCCCUCAUAUGCUAAGCACAAAUUUCAGGAAUGCACAAAAUCUAAAAUUCGUGAGAUUGUCUGUGAUUGGGCAUGAGAUCCUAGCAACAGGGAGGAGAGAUUCACUUGAUCUGGUAGAACGUGAGAGUUGAUAGUAGGAUGGAGAAGACAGACACAAACUAAGAUGCGGAGAGACAAAAAGAGAGACAGAGAUCAUCAUGUCUUUAUUCAGUUGGCGUCGUUAUAUGAACUACCCAUCCUUCAAUAAGUACCACUCCUUGAGAAAUAUAUAGAGAGAUAGGAGAAGGACAAGACAAGAACGAGAGAAAUAUCAUAAGUAAACAUGAAUAUUUUUCAAAAGAAAAAAGAGCAGAGAGGUAGAUAACAACAAAAAGGAACUUCCCCUUAUCUUUAUUCUUUUCUCUUUCUAUUUUGUAAAAAUGUGUCAUUUUUCUGGGAUGGGAUGGGAUGGGGGUGGGGUGGGGGUUUGAAGCUCUACAUACCGAAGCAUCUAUUUUGGUGCUGGUUUGGAAAUCAUUGAGCCGAAUUCUAUUCAAAAUAAUAGAGGGCCUGUACCCUCUUAACGGUGGUUCUUGCAUUCUGCUCCUUACCAUCCGUGUUGGCAGUGAAAUCAACAGGAAGUGGCUUCGAGCACAAAGGGUAGGAGGCCUGUCCCUUGCUAGCAGAAUAAUCAAUCAAACAAGAUUUGCAGAAGACAUCUGCACACGAUGUCACCUGAAGCAGACAAAAUAAGUAUUGGAAAAGAGAAACAAAAAUAACCAGAAAAAUAAAGUGACAAAGCAAGACAGAUCUUGUGAUGGUCCAGGACUAAUGCAGACCAGCACCGAGAUCAGAAACAAAUUGAAUCAUAGUAAACUAAUAAAAAAACUCGACAAUAAACUGCAGAAAUACAUGUAAAAAGGAUGCCUUUUUAUCAUUUCCUCAGCAUGUUCAGAGCAAACUUGAUAACCAUUACCUAAUAAUAGAGCAAAUGAGUACACAUUAUCUGAAAGAAACUGAACUGUCUCAUUGAGCAAUAUGAUAGGCUUGGUUUAGUAUUGCUAUGCUUUUGAGAGAAUCAGCUAUUGCUCCCAUGCGAAAGAAUCAGUUAAAUUGUUUGUUAAACUUUCGUUUGGAAAUUGUUCUAUGUUUCAAAAUCAACAUUUUAAACUUUUCGUAAUCAAAAGUGUUGUAGCCCCUGUUCAAGCCUCAUUCUUCGAAAAAUCAUUUUCCCCCAAACUAAUAUACCGAAGAAUAAGCAUAUAACUGCAAUACAAAUUAAGUACUAGUACGCCGAGAUAAAUCGAUAAAACAAAAUAGAAACAGAAAAUGUCACGUUUUUUAUGAAAAUGAACAUACAAGGCUAGAAGGAGAAAAUGAAGAAAUAAACAGAAAUCGUACCUUUGAAAGAAUAAGCUCCAUCACCACUAGAGCGAAGCUCCAUUUUUCUUCCUCCUCGUAGCAUGUUUCCCUUCUCCCAUCUAAUCUGUAGCCUCCUUUCCCUCCACCAAACUCACUUAUUUUAAUACCGUGUCUAAUAUUAUCACAUACAACUUAAUUAAGUUUUCUCAAACCUUCUUAAUAUCACAUAGAGUUCAAAAAUCUUACAUCAAAAACUUCCACAAAAAUAAUACAAUUACAUGCCAAACAAAGUGGAAUUUCGUUGGGGUCAUAAAUGCAUGUGGUGGGCAUAAUAGUAGUCAAAGCUUGCAAAGAAAUAAAGACACCAAUUUUAGACUCCGUUUGGUACACAUCAAUGUAAAAAUAAGAAUGAAAAAAUAUAACCGUUACGGACCCCACACAAAAGAUAAAAAGUCAAAUAUGGUGGUUUGAUGUGAUGGAUAAUGACCAUAUUUUUUAUUUUAAUGAGUAAAUAAUGAGAAACAAACAGGCUCGAUAAGCUAUAAAUAUUGGUAGAUUGUACAAUCGAGUGUAAUUAAUACGAAACAGUACUAUCGAGUCAUUGCGGUGGUAAAAAUGAUUAACAAGUUCAAGAGGUCCAAAAUAUAGGUUCAUUAAUUGGCUAGUCAACACGAUGUUACUUUUGCUCCAACUUGUAAAACACCAAUGGCAUUACAUUCGGCUUGUAGGCUAUUGGUAAACUUCAAAUCCCCAUGACUUGCGACAUUCAAUCUGUUUAGCCCCCGUUUGGCCUCCAUUUUUCGAAGUAGAAAUGGGUGGAAUAGUAUUUUUUUGAAAAAUGAGUGGUUGAAAAAGAAGUAAAAAUUUUCGAUUUACGUGUAAUAUUAUUUUAUGGAAGAUUAUAUGGUUGACUAUAAGAGAGAGAGAAACGAAAUGUAAUGAAAUUUAAUGUAAUGGGGGCUAAAUAUAUAACUAGGAUAUGCCGUCAUCUCCAAAUUGUUUUCUUGUGCUAUUCGAUACCACAAAUCUUAGAGGAUCAUUACUACAUUAUCUAGAUGAUUUCCUAUAAAAUGCCAAACACCAAUCAGAGUUCAUGAACACUCAAUCACAUUCUCUAAGUCACUUUUCAUCUAGCAUAUCAUUCAUUUAAAUUAUAGAAAUCUAUUGUCUAUCGUCACUCAUGCUCGAUUACCUUUUAUCAAGGAUUGUACACAAAAAUCGAUUACUUAUAGUAGACUGUGCACAAGAAAAAUAAUUGUCACAUGUUGGAAAAAAUGAGUAAAUGACUCACUUUUGGCAAGAUUUUCGAUGGGAUCCAUUGGUCCAAUUUGGAAGAUCAAAGUUAAUUCGUGUUCUCCUCCGUGAGAGCAUCAAAAUCAUAUAUUUAUUUGCCAAAAUUGAUGAAUGGAUGAAUGAGAAAUUGGAGUUCAAAGAUGACCAUUGAAAGAUGGUUUAUGUGAAAAAAUAAAACUAGUCCCACAUAGGAAAAUGAAGAAAGUAUAAACCACUUUAUAUAGGAUUACACUUUGGAAGGGUGUAAUCAUGUGUAGUAAAAAGGCUAUCUCUACGUGCGCGCGCAGGGGAUGUAAAUCACGGACCAAAAUCGCCUUCGGACCUUUAACUUGUGUGCGGGCGCAACCAGCAAUUUGCCCCUUUGAAGAGCCCAUGUUUUUGCAAUUUUUUUUCUUGAUUUCUCCAUUGACUCUUGAGUUUCAGAAACUGAUGUAACUCCAAUGGUUAAUAGACAGAUUAAGUCUAUAUAAUUAAACUCAGUUUUCCAGCAAUUUACAUAGAUGAAAAAAUUGUCCUCUUCCUCUCUGCAUAUGUACUGUUUUCAGUUCUUUCUGGAUACGCAUAUUCGUCGAGUAAGGUCGUGGUGAUAUUGUUCAGAUGCUGUAUCAGUUUGCUGGAGUAGUUUCUGUGGUGCUCAGAUACAACAUGUUUUACCGUUAUAUCCUGGAAAACAGAUGCUCAGUUUAAAACUCAAGCACGCACGGUGAGAGGGUGAAUCUGUUUUAAGGAAAUUGUGCUUGCACAGGUCUCGAGUUAAAAGAUUAUUUUUUCAGAAUUAUGUGCCUUCCAGUUUAUGUUUCUGUGCAUUUCGUUAUUUGCAGAUUUACAUGCUUUACAGGUUUAAUUAGCAGAUUUAUAUGAUUUCCAGUUGUAUAUCUCUGUAAAUAAUAUAAUUUGCUAUACAUAAUUCUCACAAUUUAUAAAAUAUAUUUUGUAUAUACGAACUGGUAUAUGAAAUUGUGUUUGUGCAAAUUCAAAUUUUAUGUUUAAUUCACUGCAAAAAUCGAUAUGUUGUAUAUACGGUAAACUAUUGCAUAUACAGUAAUUUGGUGUAAAUACAGUAAUCUGUUGCAAAUACGGUAAACUGUUGCAUAUACGGUAAUCUGUUACAAAUAAGGUAUGCUACAUAUAAGGUAAACUGAAAAUACGAUAUGCUGUAUAUACGGUAAGCAGUAAAUACGGUAUAUAUAAAUCCAACAUGUAAAGCUCAUAUAUGGUAUGAAUGAAUUCGAUUUCAUCCACUACACUAAAAUCCAACAGUAUAUAGAUGGGGAUUAAGGGAGGAAGAGAAGUGGGGGUUAAAGGAUCGUGAAGAGUUCGGGAAGAAUUCAUAGGACGACUAGGUAAGAAAUUUAUAUUAGAUUAGAAAGUUACAUAUUUCACAUAGUUGAUUUUACAGCAUAGAAUAAAAUAGAUUUUCACAAUCAAUUCUUUUUAAAGUUAAAUUUAGUUUAGUUAAAUAAUUUCAUUGGCAUGUUAUCAGCGUAUUUAAGGUUAGUUAAAACCACUAGAAAGUAUUCAAGUGAUUUUACCUACUUUGCACUGAUGUAAAUGUGUCUUCACAGUAUAUAGUCCUAGUCAUGGUGAUUUUACCAGUGGUGCACUAUUGUAAAUGUAUUUUCAUAAUGUAUAACCAGGUUAUAGCUUUUGAGUAGCUUUGCGCACAUAUGACUAUAAUUACAAAAUUGAAUAACUUUGUCGUGUACUUUGAUAUUCAUCGAUACAUGAGUAUGGUUAUUUUGUGUAUCUUUUUGAUGUGAUUUUUCAAUGUUAUACAGCUUAUCAGAUUUCAGAUUUCACAAUUUAAUUUAUUCAAUUUACAAAAUAAAUAUUUCAUCUUAUAGUACUGUGAACGGAUAUUCUGCUCACGGUAUGGAUGUGAAAUUUAUUAUAUCCAUUAUACCUUACAAUGGUUUAGUCUGAAUAAAGAAUAAAAAAAUUUAUAAUUCUAUUAUAUUUUAGUUUUAAAAGUAUUAUCAAAUUUCAGACUUUUUUAAAAUUAUAAUAGUAUAGGAGUUUUCAAAAAGUUGGUAUGAAUGGAAAAAAGUAUAAGUUUGCAAACUAUAUACUCAUUGAAUUACAAACUCAUAUAUUUUGUCAUCAUUUUUCUUAUUAGAUACUAGCUAAGUUAAGCAGUAUUGGAGCCCCUUGAUCUACCGAGUUAGCCACACAUUGUCAUUAGUUGUAUGACUUAUUUGUUAGUUUGUAUAGUUCAUAUUUUUGGGGGCAUAUGCAUCUUUUGUCAGCAAAAAAUUAAAUUGUAAUUUAAUAUCAUGAGCUCGUUGCUAAUUUAGCAUCUCAAGUGCAUUUGGUGUUUCUGGUUUGUAAAAAAUAGUAUGUAUAUAUAUAAUUCCCUGCAAUUUAUUUUGACUAGUUAGUUGUUAGAAGGGCAGGAGUUCCCUAAUUUAUAUAUCAUAUGCAUAUAUUGGGAAAUUUUUUGUUUUUUAGGUGGGUUAAUCCAUAUUUUAGAGAAAACUCUAUUAUUAUUACUAUUUUUAAAAAAUUAAAAUGGUUAAAGUAAGUCAAAGUUGCUUUCGUGGUAGGUGCAACGUUUAGUUGGUAUUUACCAUCGACAAAUGUCACGUUUCAAGUUCAUUCGACACAGUUUGUUUUUCUUUUAGAGAGGUUGAGCUGCAAGAAAUGUAGUAUAGAAUGUAGUUGUAAGAUUGCAAAGGGAAAUACGUUGACCAGCAAGAGUUGCUACAUAGGGUGAAUUUCAUUCAUUUCCUUUCUUAUAAAUUUUUUUUACGGUCACACAGAGUCUGGAAAAGUUAGAGACAUGAUCGCUAUUAAGACCAUAAUUGAGGAACUUUGAUGCAAUUUUGUUGGAAAAGAAGUUUCGCAGCAAAAAAGACAGGUUUUUUCCUUUUAAUAGUGUUGGCAGCGCUAAUGUGGAGUGGUCAAAGAUAGAGGGCAAAUGGCAAUUAUACCCAUACAUCUUUUUAAAAUUUUAAACACAAAAAACAUGACAAAAAUGCACUUAUAUUUAACCCCCGCCCCCCCAUAUCGAAGCUUAAAAAUUCACUUUUAAGUGAAAAAGAAAAUUAUAAGUUAUAACAAUAAUUAAUAUCACUGAUCAAUCACUUUUAGUGUUCACAUUUCGUGACUAUAAAAAUUGGUGCAUAUAAACUCACAAGUCCCCGACAAUGCACUACUUUAAGUUCUUUAAAGCUUUCAUUUUCCAAGAGAGAGUUGGGAUUAAUGUCAGUGGGUUCAAUACUCAUCCCACGUUUCAAACUUCAAUGUGUUGUUUCUAGAGUUUUAAUUCACUCCUUCGAAAACAAUCCGACAGAAUUACCUGAAUGCAGGAAUUGAUCAACAGGAUCAGAAAUUGUAAUUCGAGCCCACCGACUUCACGAUGUGUCCUUAAAACGAAUUUGCUGCCUUCAAUGGUGCUAAAGGCGUGUCCAGCAAUCGUUUCCCAGGAUAGAACGAAUUUUUCGUCUCCUACGGAAGCAGCACUGCAGUCUGUAGGAGUUCCAACGAACUCAACGAAGUGUUUUUGACUUCGAGACAAUAUCAGAACGAGAGAGAGGGAAAUGAGAUUCAAAGCACAGAAAGUUUGCAAUGAAAAUGGUGUAAAUUUUCUGGUAGAAAGGCUGGCUAUUUAUAGACUUGUUCGUGGCCAUUCGAACAGUCAUCACCUUUCAGACAAGCCUCAAAAAUCCGAACAGACAUACUGUUCUUAAAAGUCGUGUCUGUUAAGUCGGUUAACAGUCGACUGUUUGGUCGGUAAACAGUCGAAACAGUCGACUGUUACAAGAAAAUAAAACACUCGGUUACUUUCCUAUGUGGGAUAAGUGUUUGGCAAAUCAAAUUCUUCCAUAAUCCUUAGUUUAUGUGGGUUACUUUAACGCUUAAUAUUUCAUUCAAUUUUAAAUGGUUUUCGAUAAAUAAAUAUAUCACGUUAAUCAUCUAGAACGUGAAUAUGCUAGGUCCCGUAUUAUUUAAAAGGUGGGUCCCACUGAAACUUGGGCUCAAAGUUGACCCAUUAAACCAUUUUUUCCAACACAAUGUUCUCAAAUUCUGUGGAUUAUAUCCAUGCAUUGACACAAUAUACAAAAUUGAAUUGAUAUACAACCACAAUACAAAGACCUAACCGGUGAAAUCCCAGCUAAAAUGGCUACCGUAUUAUAUUUUGUAUAUUCACAUUGGAACUUGGAAGAGUGAUCUAGUCGCUACAUAUAACAAAACAAGAAAGUUUACUUCACCAAUUUGGCUGUGAUUAAAGGGGAAACCAUAUGUAGUUCCAAGAAAGAAUUAAAAAAAAAAAAAAUCUGUUAACAAAAGCAAGGUCUCAAGAACAUGCCCCUUCCAAAUUAUGAUCCCUAUUCGAACAGGUAUAUGAAAUCAGACGGUUCAUACUUCCCGAUAGCCUUUGAAGAACCAUCUAUAGUCCUGUAAUAAAUUAAUCACCAAAAUGAUAGACCAAGCAAAGGGGUGAAAAAUCGCCUUUCCUUCUGAACAGAAAGCCAAACAAAAAUGAAAAUGGAACCUAUUCAAAGCUCGUUAUAGGAUCUAACAUACCCUUCAAACAUUAAUUGCUUCUUCUCUUGCAACUUCAAAAUCCUCUCCUCGAUUGUGUUUUCAACGAUAAACUUCACAAUCCUAGUAAUGAGCAAACAAAUAUUACUAGCUUAAAGGGCUUAACCGACUGUAAUAAUAAUCAGAGAAAGAUCCGAAAUUGCAAAUCACCUGAUUGGUUUGUAUUGUCCUAUACGAUAGAUUCUUUCCUGAGCUUGCUGCUCCACAGCAGGAUUCCACCAUGGAUCCAUCAAGAAAACCUAGCAGAGAAAGCACUAAUUGAGUCAUGCGGUAUAAGCUAUCUAUAUACUGUAUCAAAAUCACAGACAGAGACACAUGUAAGAACAAGGCAAGAAAGUAGUAGUCCAUACAUUUGAUGCCACUGUAAGAUUGAGGGCAACACCACCGGCUCUCAAGUUUAUAAGGAAUAUUCUGCAAUCAGGAUCCUCAUUAAAUCUUGUGAUAGCAGCAUCUCUAGCUCCUAGGGUCAUACUCCCAUCAUAUUGCACACAGUUCACUCCCGACUGCAAAGAGACUGUGUUACUCUAGUUUCCUCUCCUUGAUAUACAAAGUAUUAAAAACCCAACACACGCAUGUUGUACCUGCUGAAGAGAGUAAUGUAUGAGAUCCAGAAAGGAUGUAAAUUGGCUGAAGACAAUUCCCUUUGCUGAACCAUCCCUUUCAAACAUGUCUCUGAUUUCCUCCCUCUGAUAUUAAUUAACUCACAAUGUGCAAAUACCACAGACUAAAAAUAAAGAACAUGUAGACAACUAACUAGAAAUUCAACAAGCAUACAAAUAAACAUUUAAUGGAGCUUCAACGUGUCAGUUAUUGCCUUCGAACAGUUUCAUAAAGGCAUCCUUUGCCCCUACAAACUAGUACUACCUUAAUUCUUCAAACUAUAUAACUUUUUUAUAUAUACUAAUUUAUUUCCUCUGGCCACCUCAAAAUCCUAUUGACUACCCUCAUUGGGGUUAGCUGGGAAGCGAGAGGGAAAGGAGAGUUAAUCUCCUCUGGAGACGGAUGGAAUAACUAGAGCAUCUACUUUAGGCGAAACGACGGCAAAUCUGAUAGAUAAAAUACAUCAUAUGUAAAGCACAAAAUAUAAAAAUGGGGGCUUUUCAAACUUGUUCCAAGGCAAAGCUUACUGCAACAAACAGUUUCAGUUUAUUAAAAGGAAUUUUAAAUGAAACCCUGUACUUUUCAACUAUUUCACAACAAAAAAACCAGGAUAUAUUGUUUUUCGGUUUAAGAUUUAUCCUCUCUCUUUAGGUGAAAAUUUUCAAAUUUCAUCAAGGAACCAUGUUAAGUUAAAAAAUGCUCGUGUUAAUGACAAUCAACUCACAUAAAUGCAUAUGAAUGUAGAAUAAAAAGGAAGGGCCACAAGAGAAAAACGCUUGCAUGUGAAGCUCAAAAACACAAUCUCGUUCCCUCUGCAGCUCAGAAAGAAAAAGGCAACAUGCAAACUUGGUGUCGUAGACUUAAUCACUGAUGGUGUUUCAAUGAUGCCUGAGAACAGUGCUUCAUAUUAGGUUAUGUGAGAAUGAUCUCUGGUGGCUACAAAUUGUAGGUGAACGGGUGUUAGAGAUCCAAGAAGGGCAGGCAGGGGAGGAAUAGACACUUGAUCAGGUAGAAGGUCCGAGUUGAUAGUAGGAUGAAGAGGAUAAACACGCACAAUAGCCAACAAGUAAGAAAGAAAGAAAGAGACAGGCCGAGAUGAUCCUGGCCUCGUGCAGUUGGCAUCAUGAUAUGUAGUACCUAUCCUUCAAAAGAUAUCACUUCUUGAGAGAAAUAGAUAUGGAGUGAGGGAAAGAAGGAAGGAAGAGGAGACAGGCUGGGGGGAGAGAGGGAUGUAAUCAUCAUUGCAUUUUCCACUUGCUGUGCCAACAUAUACUUAUAAAAAUAAAAUAAAAAAGAAUCGAAUUAGAGGAACAUCCCCUUAAAUUCAUUUUUUUAAUGUUUUAUUUUCCUUUUUAUGUGUGUGUGUGUGCGUGCGCGCGCAUGAGUAUUUUGUAGUGCUGGGGGUGUUCAAGUUUGACAUACCAAAGCUUCUAUUUUAGUGCUCGUCUUGAAAGCCUUGAGUUGAAUUCUAUUCAAAAUACUAGAGGACUUGAACCCUAAAAUGGUGCUUUCAUUCUGCUCCCUGCAAUCCUUGCCAGUAGAAUCAACAGUGAGUGGUGUUGAACACGAAGGGCAGGAGUCCUGUCCCAUGAUAGCAGAAUAAUCUAUCAAACAAGAUUUGCAGAACAUGUGUGCACAUGAUGUCACCUGAAGCAAUAACAAAGUACGUAUAAGAAAAGAGCAAAAACCAAAGCGAUAGAGCAAGCCAAAGAUCUUGUUAUGGUCCAGGACGAAUGCACAUCCACAUUGAGAUCAACUUCAGUCAUGAUAUUUGACCUGGUUAUCAACUGUAUAAAAUGGACAAAAAGUAUAAUAUCAAAGGGAUGUAAAGUAGCAACUCACAACAGGAUCUUCUACAAGAUCUUGACACAAGCUACACUGUUCACCGUUGCAAGUAUCAACUGCUUUACCCUUUCUUUCCGAUGCAGUAUCAGAAAAUUGCACUAAGUAAGGAUGAUCAACUGCCUGUAGUAGAUAAUAUGUGAAAGAACUGGAGUUAACAAGAGAUAUCUUUUAAAUAACUGGACAAUUUGUUGUCGCCUAAUUAUUUUCAGGUUAUAACUACUCCCAAAUCAUGAUAUUGUACGUCCAUAUUAAAUUUUCAGUAAAUUUACAGGGAGCUUCUAGGUCAUAAUAUCACGACAAUCUAUUUCUUGUAGAAGCAAAAUACGUAUUGAAUAAAUAUCAACCGUUGAAAAAUUAUAAUUACAACAGCAGGAAAAAUUCAAAUAGCAUCAUUUGCAAACACAAACAAUCAUUUGUGCUUCCAACAUUUCUUCCAGUCUUCCAAAAAUUAUGAACUCCAGGAAUGCAUUUAAAAAUGUGUUAGGCAAAAAAUAUCAAGACUACAAUAGAGCAGAAGAACCCUUAACCUGUCGUAGGCGCGUUAGAUGUGAAAAUAUGUGAGUACGGUUAUUCAUCAGUGUUCCUGCUUCUACAUAUCUGCAGAUAGAAAAGUUUAUUGUAUAACAACAAGAAUGAACUCAGAAAUAAUAAAAUUCUUAUGAUAUCAACAAAAAUGUCCAAGACCUCCAAUGUUAAUGGAAAUUCAAGAUUGAGCAAAGUAGGAAAAAAAGGGUAAAAUGAAUUCACUCAUUUCACAAUCAGGUAUACAGAUGCAGUUUAGCAACUAUUUAAGUGGGAAAAAUCAUUCAGAAUAUGAAUGCCUCAAUUUCCAAUUCCUAUAUGACAACGGAACAUAAGCAAGUAACUCAGGAAGACUCAGUUGGCCAGGACAAUACAUUAUACAACAGCCAUUAGAGAUUGAAAAGCCAGGCUGGAAUCCUUCAAAAACAGGCCAUCAGAAAAUAGCAACAAUCGUUGAAAAAAAUUUAAAUAGAAAGACGCCAAAAUAGUCCACAAAAAUCAAUCAUUAGCUAAGAAAAAGCGGCAUCCAUAAACUUCAAGGACAAAUCCGUGAAAUGCCAUAUGGAAUAAUCAGUUGAAUACUUUCAAAGAGUAACAACACUAGAGAGCUGCGAACCAGAGUUUCCUAAUUAAUAAGACAUAGUCGAAGGUCAAGAAAUUUAAUCAUCAAGCAUCCUUUUAGAUUGUCAAAGAAACAGAAAUGAUUAGUAGAUGACGUACGUAUUGAACCGUGCCCGACACUUCUUGUACAAUGCUUUAUAAUAAUCUUCUUCUACAACAUCCAGUGUAAGCCGUUUUAUGAUAACCUGAAUUACAAUUAAAAGCUUAACUAAGUAGCAUGGAUUUUUGAAAUAUUAACUGUUAAACGUCAAUGUUAUAGCCUCAAAAACAUACAGUUCUAUGAGGCAGUGCAAGAUCAGCAGCCCUGCCCUUCUUGGUACGUCUCAACAUUAUGCUUUUCAAAAUUUUGUGUGUCAACAAAUUCAUAGCAUCCCUGCCGCCCCUCCUCCUUAACGGUGAAGUAAUAUACUGAAAAAAGAAGGAUAUCACAGCCUCCACACUAAAAAAAUGAAUCUCUUCAUCUUCUGUAGUUUUUUGAAUUAUAAGAUUAUGAGGGUUUGCCGGUACCAUGAAGUUCUGCUGGUGAUCGAAAAAGAAAAGAGUACAAGUCGAGAAUUAGCAACUCACUUUGUCCCACCAGCAAAAGUGCCGAGUUUUGUGAAGGCAGUGUGGACAUUCUCCUCCGGCACUAUUCUCAUACAGAAGGUUGAUUAAAUAUGCAUGGAAUAAGCAAAAAUAAAUGAAAAAUUCAAGGUCUCAAGGUCACUAAAAUUAGAGGCCCAUUACAAGGUACUUCUGGUGUUGCCACACGUGCCCUUCUAAGAUAAGUGUGCAGCAUGUGCCCUUAGCUUUGUAAUGCUGUUUUACUAAUCAGACUAAGAAAUUCAUUCCGAGAAAUGAAGAAAUAUGGCAUUAAAAUUUAAUAGAACGCUGCAUUUAGAACAAAGAAGUACUGAGGGCAAGGAGCUAGCCAAAAAUAUUGCUUGUGCACAGAAAGCGAGAAGCAUGAAUAAAAGAAAAAUGUUGUAAAUUGCUCUGUGCACAGACAUAAAUCCUGCUGACAGUCGUGGAUUUACCAGGAGGCAAGUGGAUAGACAUUUUUAACAAUAAUAUGUUUCCAAUAAUCAGACUUCACAUUUGCACCUGCAGAUUUGUUGUUUCAUUUCCCAGAUAUUUAAGUUUACAAUCCGAAUGCUUUGAAGCCCAGUUCUUUACAGAAUCGAACACUUGUUGUUCAUUGCCAAGUCUUGUUUGCACCUUACCACCGUGACAUGGAUAUGCUAGAUAAUCCUCACGUUGUACAAAGAGGACGUUAUGACCAGAGACUGGCUUAGGAAUGUGGUGUAUAUCCAGUGGCUUACGAAGAGGACGCCACUCAAAAAUUUUCGUUUUGAAUUGGAGUAAGGGUGGGGGUUUUCAAGGGUUAGGAGGCAAGAUUUAUUUAAACACUUAUAGGGACAUGGAAAUACUUCGACUAUACCUGUAAUCUAGUGAGCGGCAAUCACAAUCUUUACAGAAGUAAUAAGAGUAAGGAACUAUCUGCAGAAACCGAACCUGCAUGAAUGGAAGUAUCUUUCAUUACAUCUAUUUAAAGAGUAAGUAUCUUUCAUUAGACCAAACUAAUCUACUUCCACAAUAACUUACAAAUGAGUAGAGCUCUUCAAUAUGAUUCUGGAGGGGUGUGCCAGUCAAAGCCCAUUUAUAUGAAGAUUGUAAAUCAAAAACAGCUUUGGCUUUGAUUCUGCGUUUAUCUUUUAUAUCAUGAGCCUGUAUCAGAUAAUAUAGUCAGUCAAUUGGGAAGCAAUCACCAAUUCAAACUUUUUCUAUAUGCAGGAUCAUUUAUAUUUCCAGAAAUAGUUAAGGAAUGAAAUCUGCUUUAAAAUUAAAAAAAAAAAAAAAAAAAAAGGCAAUUAAAGUUCUGACAAGAUGAUCACCAAGAUCCAUUUCCGAUAUAAUCAAAAAGGUUUCCUGCCAGCAAAAAGCACCUCAAUAAGCAGGUUUAUUGCUGAAUGCACCUCGUCACAUGGUUUGAAUGCAUGAUGGAAAAACAAAGAAAAUGCUAGCAUUAAUUUAUUUUGCAUCUCAAAUUAAACACAUAACAAGCAAGGGUGACACAGGAAUCAAUAACCGAGGAAAUCCGACAUAGAAGUACUCAAUGAUAGUGAAAUUUGAGGGCUCCAUCAUCCAAUGUCAUGUAAUGAGCCACUGGGAAAAGAAGAGAAGCAGAACCAGGUGAAGAGAAGAAGGAAAUGGAGGAGGAAAGGCCAACCGAAGGAACCGAAGUGACAUCGUUUUGGUUAUAUAAAACGGCUCGUUUUGGGUUAAUUAAUAACUAAUAAAGCAGUUAAAAUUUCCUUUUAUUAUUGCUUCGCGAAAACCCAACAUUUCUGUUUUGUGGCUAUAUAUACAGCCAUGGAUGCAUCGUGCCUUACAAUCAGUGAAAAUCUGCAAUUUCUGUUAUGCAAUGGAUUGAUUAAUUUCAGUUACCAUCUUCAUCUCUUCUCAAUUUUAUCAUUUAUCCCUCCCCAGUUCAUUUUUAUCUUAAAUAUGGUUACCAUUUCAGCUGAUUCUGCUGGAACAUUCCAUAAUUUCCAAUGUCUAAGUUACGGGUAGUGAGGAUCAAAGCUGAGUUCCAGCCGUGACAUCCAAAAGAAAUAAAUGUAAAAUUACACUAUGAAAAUGCGAAAUAGAAUCAGAAUCAGAAUGAUAAGGGACUCAUACAACAAAAAGAGCAUAUCACCAAGAAACCUGAUGGAUUACCUCAUCCAAAAUGAUACGUUCCCAUUUCACAGAAUGUAGCAUAGAUUUGCCUGUAAGCACAGAAUUUUCAAUUGAAUAUUCAAGUCCCAGUUCCUUCUCCCGGCUCUUCCUAUCUUUCUUGGGACCUCUCUUCCUAGUUUUGAGUACAGAGUUAGAGGUAUUCUUCUGCUUACAUGGAGAUCUCAAGUGCAUUUUCAACUUCUUUUCGUAGAAUAAUUUUCCACAUACGAGGCAUUUCUCUUUUGGUAUCAGAUACUUCCUGGAAUCAGUCGCAAGAACGUUAUACGUAGUAAUAACAAAGUCAUACUCAGAAAAUCGACAAAAGUUCUCUUCUCUUUUCGCUCCAUGAUAAAGAAGCACCUUCGUGCUUCCUCUCGCAGUGCAACGUUCAAUCUCACUUACCCACUGCAUUGCAGCCGCCAAGGGACAUACAACGAGAGUGCCUUUAAUUAUAUACGAGGGUAAUUCAGUCCCAGGAAUGGCUGGGUUCAUUUCUCGUUUUUUUAGAACGAGGGAUAUUGCCUGGACAGUCUUGCCCAUCCCCAUUUCAUCUGCAAGAAUACCUCCUCUCAUAGCAGAUGCUUCUUGCUUUACAGACCAAGCCAACCAUUCUUUCUGGUACCUCAAUAGCGGCAUUAUCAAAUCUGGUGGAGGCUCAAGAACAUCACGCAACGUAUCAUUCUGAUUGCUCAAAUCAAUGUCUCCGGUCGAAUUCUCUGCAACCCACCUCUCAUUUUCUUGUUCCCAUACUUGCCACAAUAAUGUGGGUUUCUCCCUUUUCUUACUCCUCUUCUUUCUCCCCUCAAUAAUAUUCACAUUCAGUUCUCCUUCUCCCUGCGCAACUUCCAAGACAUGAUCAUAGUCUAAAAUCUCUUCCUGUCCGUUCUCUUCAAUCGCAUUCGAUAUAUUUUCAUCUACAUCAAGAAAUGCGCCAUAAUUGGAAUCCGACGACAGCGUAUUACUAUCGGAAUUCGACAAAACCGUAUUCCUAUCAUCCUCAUAAGAGUUCUCUAUGUAUUCAGGAUUUUUAUUCCCUUUGGAAGACGAAGCUUCAUCACCAUGAGAGCGAGGCUUCAUUGUAAAUGCGAAGUAUAUCGGAAAGAAAAUUAGGGUUUUUUUUCUUGUUCGCAACUGAAGAAAUCAAGAAGGCGGAAAAUCACCCAACAGUUGCAGUCAGUUUCUAAUGCCACGCCACCGAAGAGAGGCGGGAAAUGAGAAUGAGAAGUGACAGCGAGUGAAUUUUACUAUAAGCCAAUGAACUUCAAUUAAAAUUUCGAGUUGGUCCAUAAAAUAUUUUUGUGACUCAUUUAGUCACUAAAGCUACAUUAAUGUUAAAGGAUUAACCAUUUCGUUAGCUUGAUUAACGGUGCAUCCAUCGUAGUAGCUGUUAAACCCUUACGUGGAUAAUGAUCGACAUAUGAUCGAUUCUUUCUAGUUAGCCUCAUGUUAUAGCUAUUUUGUUACCUGUUUGCUUUUUGUCGAUGAUGAAAAAUAUGAAUAUUUAAGUUACUAAAUUUAUCAUAAAUAUACUUUUAACUCAGACUAUUUAAAUACAAGCUUGAAAUCAAACUAAACUGUUCAUUUUUCAACCAAAUCGUUAGUUUAACAUUUGUUUGGGAGAAUUCUUCUAUUGAAAAUUAUUUUUUAGCCGUGGGUGUGGGCACGAUUUUCUUUUUUUUUUUUUUUUUUUUUUUUUUUUUUUUUCAAAUAAAGACCUCUUUCUGUCUUCUCGGGGCCAAAAACUUCCAUUUUGAGCCCGCGACCCAUCGCGGAGCACUUUCUCACUGAUUUAGUGAGAUAAGUGUGAAACUGGUAGGAAAAAAAUUACGGCUCUUAGAAUAUGUGGUUGAAAGAAAAAGAUUUCGAGGGAAAACAAUUUUGAAAAAGAAAAAUAUUUCCCAAACAAAUACUUAACCCCCGUUUGAUUCCCAUUCUUAUAAGAACGAGAAUAAAAACUAUAGUUGUUACGGUCACAUAUGAUGACUUGAUUUGAUGGAGAAUGAUCAUAUUUUUGAUUUUUGUGGUCAAACAAUGGAAAACAAACGGGGCCUUAGUUUCAGAUUAUGGUUUAUCAGACGGUUUAAAAGUUACGCUUUGCAAGCAAUAUAUAUAGGUCUAAAAUUUUAGUAGAAACUUAAAAAAUUGGAACAUUGUUAUGAUCUAAAGUAAUGUUUUACGAACAAGUUAAAUGCAUUGGAGGAGGCCUUCAUGAUUUUAAGGCAUCAAUUUAUUUUCCCUUUUUGAUAAAGCCAUUCAAGUCAAGGUUAAGGUUUUUACGGCUUCUUACCUAUUAUUUAAUGGAUGGUUUUGGCUUUUCUCUUUCCCUCAUUAUAUUGAUGUGAAGUUUAAUAUACAAAGGGGACUUAAAGGGAGACCGCAGUGGGAAAAAUAUUUAUGUUCUAUCUAGUGAUCUAAUUGUUUUAAACAUUUGUAUAAAUAAUAGAAUAGAAAGGCGAAGCAAUCUGUUCUAUAUUAUAGCAUGAGCUCACUGCAGUGGGAAAAAUAUUUAUGCAGCUGGCUGAAAAAUAUAAUGAAAUCAGAUUUCUAAUUUUGUAGUUAAAGAAGGUAUUUAAGCCCGUUCUUACUCACAAACUUGUCUAUACACAAAUUAGACGAAAUCCUCUCUGAAGUAGUUCACAAAAACUAAAUGCACUAUGCAGCAACUAAUUAAGAGAACUUCAGGUGGUGAAUUCUAAAGUUGAUUUGGACAUUACUCGACAUGAUUAAAGAAAAAAACACUUGAUAAAUGGCAUUCGCCGAGUAUUUAAGGCAUCUUUCAGUUGAUGGUUUGUAUGUCUUGAAUGCCCGUUGGCCUUUGAAAACGUUGUAUUGCUGGCAUGUCGGGUGGAAUAGCCACUCUCCAGUAUACAGUGGCCAUUAACUCUUGUGCUUUGGAGUGUAGCAUGGCCUAAGUUUGAAUGUUGUCAAUCUAAAUACGAACCUAUAGGUACCAGUAGCAGAAAUGCCUGCUUUUCUGUUACCUGCAAUCUUACUAGACAAGUUUGGAAGAAAGCCAUUAAACACUGGGGCUCAAUGGUUCAGCAGGCUCGAGAAUUCGCUAAAAUUCCACUACGGAAUAUGGAACGUGGACCGAAUGAUUUAUGGUACUUUUGGGAUUUUGGCAUGGCCGGAACGUAUAAUUUGCUGUUUAUUUUCACGGUCAAGCUUUCCCCGACCCCGUUAGAAAUGCAGCACAAGUGGGAGCAAUACUGGUGCCAUUUGUUAUGAUUUUGGGUGAUGGAAUUCCCUUUAUGGUGUUUGGAGUACGUAGGAUAGCUGGAGGACUUUUUGGCAUUUUAUCUACCAGAGACUUUAAACGGGCCUUUAUAUGAUACAAUGGGAGGAAUGGAGGAUGGAGAAGGUGCACAGGCUAAUGUUUAAGGCUUUUUAAAGGGUGAAAUUUAAAGUAGCUUAAACUUAGAGAACCAUUUUACAUAAAAUUUGUCACCAUGUGGAUCAAAGUUUAUUAAGAUUAACAAAAAUAUCAUUAUAAAAAUCAAAUAUUAGUAAAGAAUGAGUACUAAUUUCUCAUAAAUUUUAGUAUAAUCAAAUUCCACAGUGCUAGUGUUGCUAAACACAAUCAGGCUUCAUGCUUGAUUCAAGAACAUAUCCAGGACACAUAAAUAUGCAGACAUCACAUGUCUAGUUUCACGGUGGUGACUAUAACUCUCACUCAAAUCAUCAAAUAGCGAGAGACUACAUGUUCUCUUUAAAUCAAAUUACAGGCUUCAAUUCAAGAUUAAAUAGCUGUUUUCCUGGAAUAAUGUAUGUUCAACGAGUGGAAUUUUAAUCACCGCUGACCUUCCCGUGGAUACCCAUUGUUCAAGGAGGGGAGAGGAGGUCUUGGUCUUGCAUACUCCGCGAAAAUAACCCAACCAUCCAAGAACUGCAAAUAGAAACUCAGCUGUUCAAAAUACCAUGUGAAAGCCAGUGUUUGAAUAGGCUUAAUUAAAUAUAAAGGCAUUUUGACCCCAUGAGGUAAGGCAUAAGCCUCAAGAUAGGACAAUGUAAAAAUUCAAAAGAAUAUAAAAUACAGAAAUACGCUAAUACCAUAUAUUCUCUCAAACAAUCCAUAAUAAAAUGUCACAAAGUAACAAGUGAAAGGCUGCUCAUCAAGUUUGGUGUUUAUCUAGCAAGGGCUCAAAUGUAAUUAGUCCGAUUUAACAGUCUUUUAGCUAUUAACCAAAGUGGCCAUCUAUCCCAAAAACCUAAAACCCAUUUGAUCUCACUCAAUUACAUCACACCUGACUAAGCAGCAAUUCUCAGUACAAAGCAUAAUAAGCAAUUAUCAAAGGUGAAGAACCAAAUAACAACUUAGUGUUCCUUCUAUUAUCAUGUUUCCAAAUAGCAGUCUAAUAAUAUGCCAAAUAUAAAAACCUUUUGACCACUUGUUAGGACCAGCACAUUACAUUUAAGUAAGGUGUCUCUGCCCAUAAGAUCAAAUUAUUACAGUUACUCUAAUGAAGGCUUAUGUGGAAGAGGUUAUGGUAAAACGAAAGCCCAAGACGCUAGAAGAUAUAUAUAGAUCAAACAUGGGCAAGACACUACAUUCGCUUCUAAUUUUAAUGUUGUGCAUGAGUGCGAGCGUGUCCAUAUUCCGACAUACAUGCUCAUGCACAUGAAACCCCCAAAACAAAAAACAAAACAAAAAAUUGAAAAGGCAUAAGUUGAGAGUGGGUGAGUGAGUAAGACGAAAUAUCAAACCCCCUUUUCAGUUUCUUCUUAAUUUUGAUCUCAAUUUAAGUUCAGAAACUGGGGUUUAAUCCACUUUGGGUCCCUUCUUAGAAAUGAGGAAAAGCUGUAUCUCUCACCACCUACCAACAUCCUCUCACCCUUUCUCCUCCAAACAGAAUUUGCACGGGGGGCUCAUCUCUAGAUCUAAAAAGUACUAAAGAAAUGAAGAUUUUUCAUUAAAGAAACGAAGAUGAAAGAAAGAGUGAGUAAGUCAUAAAAAGUUAGGCAGAAGGUUGCCAACCCUACAACAUGCAGCUAUUACAUAUAUAAAUACAUUUGUCUACCAACUGCAAAUGUGCUUAAUUGAUCACCACUAACCUGGCCAUCCAUGCCCUUUAUCCCUGCUUCAGCUCCUUCUAAAGUUGCAUAAUUUACAAACCCAAAACCCUUUGAGUAACCAGACACACGAUCAGUCACCACUUUAGCUGCAAAAAAGGCAAAAAGAAUUCAUAAUACUUUGUCGAGCCACCUCCACAUGGGUCCUAAGUUUUGAAGAAGCUAAAAUAGAACAUACCAUUGACUACUUCACCAAACUUAGCAAAGGCAUUUCGGAGGCCUUCUGUAGUUGUACGUUUGCUAAGCCCUGAACAUAUAUACAAAAGGUCCAAUGAGAACAGACACAAGGACCCACAAUGAAAACAAACCAAGGCAACAAAUAGAAAAUUCGAGACAGCAAAAUGCUGCUGACAGUGGAUGUGGGAUCUCGAGUUUUUUAUGAUCUAACAAGACAUUUAGCAGUUUCACUUGAAGACAUAGAUCUUUAAUGGAUUGACAUCCAUAUAACGUAAGGUGAGAAAACCAGAAUUAGAUUUUAUGGAACUACAAACAAGCAACGAGGCAGGCAAAAUCUUGUUCUCCAUCAAAUUAGCAUUGACGCAUUAAACAGUCAGGGCUACUCAUAACCACGCAGCUAAUACAAAUUAAACAGAACAAAUUCAUCAAACACUUGGAAAAUGCUUCUCUUUGAGCCACAAAAUUUUACUCAUCGGUAUAUGUGUCAAGUAAAAUUCCAACGCAGACAUUAAACAUUAUGAUUUGGCACAAUAAAAGUAUGAAGCAAAACGAAGUAGAUGAUAAAGCAACACAAAGUGAACAAGGGAAACGAAACUAAGGGAACAUAGAGAUAGAGACAUACCAGAAACGAAGAGAUUGGUGGAUGGUUCAGCGGGCGGAGGCUUCUCAACUUGAGUCGGUGGCAAAUUAAAGGAAAAUCCCGGUAAAGACGAAUACAGGGCUCUUAGGCCUCUCGGAGCUGCGGUGGAUACGGCCGCCACCUUAAUAGCCGCCGCCCUCAUUGCCAUUUCUGGGGUUUAAGCUCCUUAUGCUGGGUUUUCAGAGAAUUCGAUUUGGAUUGUGACCUGGCUUUCCUUUCUUUAUAGUAGUCAGCUACGAUUUAGGAAAUGGGCUACAUCGACCCAUAGCUUUAUUUCAAUUUGGGCAUCUGGAACCGGAUAAUUAACAAAAAUAGCACAAAAUGGGGAGUUAAUUAUUUUGCACGUUUUAACGUUAAACUUAAAGCAAAAGAUUUUAAAAAGUUUUGGGGAAUUUGGAAAUUGGAAUUGUAGCCAUAAAUAGAGAUCUACUUAUUUAUUUUUCAGAGGACGUGGGGAGGGAGGUAACAAUUCUUAACCAUUUAUCUUAGUUGUGAAAAUCACAAUUUUUAAUUAACUUGGACGCGGUGACUUGGUAAACAGGGAUGUAUUUUCAGAAUUGUCAUAUUUAGGAAAAAAAAUUAAAAAGACAAAACCGCCCUUUCGGUAAAAAUCACAAUUUUAUUGUAUGGCUAGGAUUUCAUAAUAUAUGACGGUGCACACAUCUCUAAGACUAACAUAGUGGCUUCUUAAGUAGAAUAAUACUACUUGACCAUAGCUUUUGACACAGAUUUUGACAUAGUGAGAUGGAAAAUGGGGUAAAAAAAAAUGAAAAAAAAAUUCUGCUAACCGGUUUGCAAAAAAGGUUUGAAAUUCAAAAUUUGAAUUUUCACUUAUACCCGGCCCAAUAGCCUUACCCAUUUUAAACAGUCAUUUGACCGGGUGAAAGUGAAAUUACACUUUCCUGUUUGCAUCUUUCCCGCAUAUUGGUGCAAUUUUCCUUGCUGAUUUGGUGCAAUUUUCCUUCCAACCGGGUGAAGUAGCGCCGAUUUGGUGCGAUUUUCCUUGCUAAUUUCCGACGGUGUUAAAUAUCAAAGUUAAAUGUUACCUUUUAGUAAGGAAAAUCAUCGAUUUGUUGGUAGCGAAGGUGAGCUUUGAUUUUUGGGGUUUUGCUAUUCUUCAACUGUCGAUUUUUAGCACUUUCUUUGAACUCGCUCUGGUAUUGGUGGGUACGGUUGAGGUGGUGGUGUUUUUCCGUGGUGGGUUCCGAUGAUGGAGGGGAAUUUUGUGGGUCGAUUUGGAGCGAUUUUCCUUGCUGAUUUCCGGAUAUGCAGUCUACAUGAGGGGAUGAGGCUCCAAUCAAAGGUAAGUGGGUGUUGAGGAGAUAUUUUGGGCUAUGGUGGUGGGUGGGUCAACGACUUUGGAGGCGAUUGAAGGUGAAUAGGUAUUACAGUGUCCCUUUUUUGCAUAAUCAAUCUUUUAUUUGGUGCAUUGGAGGUGGUGGUGAGUUGGAGGUGCUGGUGGUGCAGGUGAAGUAAAAUAGUGCGUAUGAGGUGGUGGUGGAGGUCAUGCAAUGGAAGCACGGGGUGGUGGUGAUGGUGGUGCAAUGGAGGUGGAGGUGGUGCUGGUGGUUUGGACGAUGGUGAAUGGUGGUGAUGGAUGGUGGUGCAAUCAAGUUCAGUCACUAUUUUUCAAGAUUUGCCUUGCAAUUUUGAAACAUGAUGAUGGUUAAUUGAACAUGGAGAUUACUUUGAACGUGACUAUACGCAAACGAGGAGAGCACGUCACCAAAUGGGAGAAGAAUGGAAAUUCGAUAGCUCGAGCUAAAGCAUUUUUGUUUGAAUGAUAUAGUAAUUUAAAUUAUGUAAAUUUAAAUUAUGUAAAUGUAAAUCCUUUGUAAUAUCAAUCUUUUAAAUUGGGAUCCUUUUUGUCUUGGUUAUGUACAUGUUCAGCAUUUAUCUAUGGGUGUGUGAGAAUGGGGAAGAUUACUGCUAAUUUGAAUGUUUUCCAUGAAAUAAAACAGAACGAAACAUUACAAUUUGUUCUAACAAAAAUAUUUUCUAUAUCACAUCAAGUGCAUUGAGCAUAAGGAUGGACACAUGCUGGCCUUUCCAAUGAACAACAGUCUUCUCCAAAAUAACACAUAUACACAAACACACUAACACUUCAUACAAGAAUUCUGCCUGCAAUGACAAUUAGCAUCCUUCUUAUCUCCCAAUUCCAUAUACUACAGGGCACCUUCCUUCAAGAUCACCAUAGGCUGAAAGAUUGCAAAAAAUUGGGGAGGCUCUUUUCCUUGAAAUAUCCAAACUGGUCUCUCUUUCAGUGAGUUACACAUUGUAGUGGCCAAUCUAGCAGCCAUUCGUUGGUCCCCCUGAAAAUAGAUAAUUGUUCUGGUUAAUACUCAUAAACAAGUUUCUGGAAAGUAGUAACAUAACAUAAUUCUGUUAACGUACAAGUGGUUCAUGUAAAUGUCAACUGAUCAACAUUUAAAUCUAAAUAUAAUUUCUCACCAAAAUUAUACAUUCUAACUAUCGUCAUUUAUCAAUAGUAUACAAACCCACAAAUGCAUUUGCUGGAAUUUAAGCUACAUUUUUAUAUCAUCAAAUUGGAACUGAAAAAAUGAUCAAAUCAAACUUGAAACUGAUUCUGAAAGAUUGUGGUUUACCUUGCAUAUUGAAUGUCAAGCUUGUUGACGAUGGAGGGUUGAUACAUGAGGAUUGCAAGUGUUGUGUGAAGUGAAGAUUUUGGUGGCCACCCUACGUGAAAUGAUAUUAUUAGUAAAUUGUAUAUUUCCAUUGAAAUGAAAUCAUAAAUGAAUGCUAACCAUAAGGAGGCUUGUAUAGGAGAAAGGUAGUGGCGUGUGUAAUUCUCCAGGUGGCAGAAUGAUGGGUGUAACAUUUCUCUUAUUGCUUGUGCUAACCUUCGGUUUCUUUCCUUUGGCUGAACUCAAAGUUCCCUGCAAAAUACGGAAUGUUAUUAGACAUUAUCUUUAUAAUGAGUUGACAACAUUUGGAUACCAAAAUUUGAGCACUACCUUGACUUUGUUCAAACUCGAUUCCAAUGGGCUCUUCUUCCGAAUUUUCUUAGGGGCACCUUUUCUUUUCGCACUUUCCGGAUCCCUUAUGCUACCACUCGCAAUACGCUGUGAUGCUCCACAUUUGGAUGGUGUCUGAGUAUUACGCAAGACAUUACUAUUACUACUUGAUCUCAACAUCAUCAUUUUUUGACAUUGACUGUUGAUCCAAUCAAUUAUGACAUCAAAUUCGACAUCAUCAUCCACAGUCAUGUCAGCCAGUGUAGCAAAGCGUUGACACAUUUUAUCGUACUUUAAUUGUUCAGGAGUCCCAAUCAAACCAUCAUAAUUCACUGCUACCCUCAUGUGGACUCUUCUGACAUCUCGUUUCCAUCUUCAUAGUAUAUAUCUUUUCGGUACAGAUUUGACGUCAUUACGGAUCAAUACUGUGAUCGUAUGUCUGCAAAUAAUCCCUCGAAGUUCAAAAUUGUAACAACUACAAGUGAUUUCACACUCGUCUCUUUGAAAUGAGACAAAAAAGGUUUUUUUUCUUGGAACGCUCGCCAUGUAUUACAUUUUCUCGUAUCUCGUAAGUCGUCCCCAAUAAUCCCUCCGAAACAGAUAUGAGAUCGCAAUAAACCUUACCGUGAACUCCUCUUGAACUUUCUUGAAUUUAGAAAUCGUGUAAACUGAUGGAAAUUGAUUUUCCAUUUCGUACCUCGUUGCGCACGGCACCACUUGAAGUCUGAUUGAAACUCCUUCUCAACCUUAUUUCUCAAUGCUCCUUUGUAUUGUUCAACAAAUUGCUUCAUGUCAUCUUUGAAUGUACAUAAUCAUCAAAGAAUGUAUUCAUACUCUCACUGUGUUGAGUAGUUGACAUCCCUGCCCAAAAUGUGAUUUUCAAAUAGCAAGGCAUCCAACGUUCCCUGUUCUCGUACAAACCCGCCAACCACUCAUUAUCAUACAAGUGAAACUUUUCGAUCAUCACUCUCCAGCCAUUUUCAAAUUCUUCUACGAUUGACAAUCAUAGACCAAAUUGUAUAUAGUAGUAAAUAUUGUACCUUUAUCCACAUGGUAUCCAAACUUCUCAGGCAAUUUUUUCAAUAUGUGCCACAAACACCAUCUAUGCCUUGUAUUGGGGAACACAAUCUGGAUUGCAUUUUGCAUUGUCUUGUCCUGAUCUGUAAUUAUCCCAUGUGGAGCCUGUCCGUGCAUGCAUUGUAGCCAGGUCCGAAACAGCCACACAAAUGUCUCUGUAUCCUCAUUCGAUACCAGACCACAUCCAAAGAGUGUCGACUGUCCAUGAUGGUUCACUCCAACAAAGGAGGCAAAUGGCAUAUCGUACCUGUUAGUAAGGUAUGUAGUGUCGAAUGUGACAACAUCACAACUCUUUAUAUGCUUGUCUACUCCUAUAAUCUGUCCAGAAAACAUUCUUUCGACACAACUCCUCAUCCAAAUCCAUACUAAAGUAAAAGUCUGGGCACUGUGCUUGCAUCUUAGAGAAUUAUGAUUGCAUUGCUGCCGCGUCCCUUUCUCCAAGUCUUAAACGCCUAACUUUUUCAACAUAGUUUCGACAAUCAUUUUCGAUGCAAGUCAUAUUCUCAUAUUCACCUGUUUCAACAACUGUAGAGUUGUAACUCUUUUGUAAUGGAAUUAUUGCAAUGUCAUUUAUUUCAAGUCGUCGUUCCACAUGUGUACUCAACUCUCAGUUGCAUCUAUAUAGCCUAAACUUCGAAGGGCUUGUCUUAUUAUUGUGGUCCAGGUGCACUGUGUUGAUUUUCCAUAUUCCACAAACGUCCGAAGAUGCGGUGAUCCUAGCUUUACAUCCACUCUGAAUGGUCGCUUGCGGCUUCAAAGAACCGCUUGUAUUUCUGAUUCUUUUCCCUUCACGGCUACAAACGAAUAUAAUAUUUUUCAAUACUUCAUCAUCAUCCUUUGUCGAAGUUCUUUUUCUAACCGGGAAACCAACUUCGUAUGCAUAUCUUUUGUAAAAAUCAAACAUUUCAUUUUCAUCCUUAAAUUUCAUACCCACCUCAGGCGCAAUCGCUCCUUUUCCAACUAACAUAUCAUCACCCGGUAUGUUCAUAGUAUCCACAACAUUCUCAUUAUCGGACUACACCGGUGACUCCACCGGUAUAAUUUCAUCCACAUAUUCCAAUAUUUUUUCCCUUCAUCAAACAAAUCAAUUACAAUGUCAAAUAUUGUACAACGACAAAAUAAUCUAUGCAAGUAUAAUUCAAACUUCACAAACAGAUAAAAUCACAUAACAAAUCCCCUCAUUCUAAAUGGUAUUUCAAACUUAACAUUACUCAGUCAUCAUAACUGAAAUGGAAAGGAAAAAAAUGAAAAAUUUCCUUCAUCAUAAGGUGACAUCGUUAAACAAUUCAUAACAAUGAAAUAAAUAACCAAUGCCAAUACCUUUUUCGCUCAUCUCUCAGCUGAAAAUGUUAGGUUAGGUCCAGUGGAAUGUAGCUAGAUUUUCCCUGUAUUUAACUGUAAAUAAAUUAGUAAAAACGAAAAAUGGCUGUGGUACAGAUGCAAGUACUUACGAUUUUUGAAGAAACCCAGAAUUUUUUUUGAUUCUCAGUGUCGUCAAAGCACUUUAAAUAACCGAAAAUGAGAUUUUUUGAAAUAUGGUUCUCUUCCAAACAUCAAAAAUGGGUCAACAUUCAUCCCUCAAUCAUCCCACAGCUGAGAAAGAGAUGUAGUCGAAAGUGGAGAAAAAAAUCACGCCAAUUUUGCCCUAAAAUUCACCCUCCAGAAUGCUGUGUAAUAUUAGGUGAAAAAUUGGUUUUAAAUGGGCUAGACCCGACUGAAUCUGUACCUAGUUAGCAUAAAUUUUUUUGUCAUUUUUUUAAACCCAUUUUCCACCUCACUAUGUCAAAACCUGUGUCAAAAGCUAUGGUCAAGUAACAUUAUUCUCUUAAGCAAGAUUUCAUGUGGCGAAUGCAGUUAUUCUUAGGAUCUGUUUGAUUACAAAGAUGUAAUUUGGGUGGAAGGAAAAUGAAUUUCAAGAAAUUGAAUUGCCUAAAUAUUAUUUUUUUAGGAAUUAUAAAUUAUUGUAUUUGAUUGAUAUAAUUUUCUACUUGAAAAAUGUUGAAAUAAAAGUAUUUUUUGGUGUUCGUUUGGCUUUAUUUUACAUGAAAAUUAUCGAUUAAAGGGAUAAAAUUUAUUGGUAUUGGGAAUGAAAUUUGUUUUUAUUGCCCAAAAAAAAUUCAAGAAAAUCAUCUAUCUUUUGGCUUUGUUUUACAUGAAAAUUGUCAAUUAAACGGAAAUAUUUUUUACAAUAAUUCUUAAAAAAUUUUCCAUUGCCAAAAAAUAAAAAAGGAAAAACAUAAAAUAGUACUACAGUAACUGGAAAUUCCAAUUCUCACCAUUUUGGUGAGAAUUGAAAUUCCUUGAAAAGCAUGAAUAUCCUAGGUGGCAUGAAAAGCUAGAAAAUGAAUGCCAUGGAAAAAUAGUGCCAUCAAACAAGCAAAAACAUGUAAUUGAAAUUGGUUUUGGAGAUUUGCAAUCCUAGAAGUCAAGCCCUUUAUUUGUUUGCCUCAAAUCUGGCUAUUUGUUGUGAGCUAGAAUACUUGGGUUGCACUUCUCUCUAGUUGGUAUCAGAGUCAUUCUCUCUAGUUAGCUUACAUGUAUUAUUAAAGCAACGUAUCAGUAUAAUGGUACCAGUGAGAAUAAUAGCUUCCUGAUGACUUCUGAAAAUCUCUCACAACUUCCUAUACUAUCUCUCGCCUCUUCAUCUUCCUUAAAAAAUCAACCUCUUCUAAGAUGGAUUAUCUUUAGGAAAUAUCCUAUUUUGAUGAAUCAGAUAAAAUAAUUCCUACUAGUCUUCGUAUUGUAAAUCCAUAACUAGCUUACUCAAAACCACGACAAUCUUUCUCUAAAUCCGUUCGAUGCCUAAUUUCUCCCCAAAAGACUCAAGUAAAAGAAUUUGUACAAGCUACAAAAUUUGAUCAACACCUCUUUCCUGCCACAGAACAAGAACAGCUUGUCACUUUGGAGAUUUCAUCCCAUCUUCCAAAUGUCUGGUUAUCAGAAGGAUAUACACACCUUUAUUUCGGAGCUGUGAGAUUUGCUCUUACCCUUUAUGGAAAAAAGGGUCUUCCUGCAAUUUCAAGAAUUGCACUACUUGACACAAGAUCUGCAGAAUAUCAGCAUGUGUGCAUAGGAACUCUACAAACCACUCUAAAUGUAGGAACCGUCCUUGUAACCAUGUUUCCAAACCUCAACAUGCCCAUUUAAGAUCCGCAACUCCUUUCUACUUUAAAAGUCCAGAUCCAUAUAGUUGGAGCUGUACCAUCUUCAGUCACAUAUGGUGCAAUUCUUCAUUACCAGAUGGUUUACAGAAUUCAAAAUCAUUCAUUAAAUUUCUCAAUUCCCCCUAGAGAAAAGUACAACCCAAGUAUACUAGCUCACAACAAAUAGCCAGAUUUGAGGCAAACAAAUAAAGGACCUAACUUUUAGGAUUGCAAAUCUCCUUGAUGGAUCGUUUAGUCUGCAGCACAAUUUAUGAUGCUAAGAAUCCUCUAGAGAGGCAAUAGUAGAGCAUACUUUUGUUACUGCUCAAAUUGCUAGCUUAUCAUGACUUGUUAAAACUAAUAUCAGCAUUCUGGAUUCCAAUGAGAAACAUAGAGAAUUUAGAACCUCAUGAUUUAAAGGAACUCAAGCUUUUAUUUCUAAAUUUUCGAUGAUGUUCCAAUGAAGGAGAGGAGUCCCUUUUACAGGCAGAGGAUCCUCUACAAUCACAUGGACCAGUACAAUAAUCACGCUAGAUGGACAAAUGACUUUUCAGACAUAAAGGACUUGAGUACAUUUUUUUGACCGGAUAGACCCACUUUUGAUAAAGCGACAGUGCUUUAUCGAUUUAUUUUAUAAGAUGACAGACAACUCAUACAAAAUAACAAAAUACUUUUAGCCCUUGUUUCGUUUUCAUUCUUUCCUCAUUAAAAUGAAAAAUAUAACUGUUAUCCAUCACAUCAAGCCACCAAAUUUGAAUUUCUAUCUCUUGUGUGGGGUCCGUAACGACUAUAUUUUUCAUUCUCAUUCUUCCAAAAAUAAGAAACAAACAGGGGCUUAACUUGAGAUGAUCUUUGAGAAUCAAGGAGUGCCCAGAUUUGCUGCCAAGGCCGAUCCAUCUGAAUCAUCAGAGUCUGAUGGUAGUCCUAGUGUUUUCUAUCAAGGCAUAUUUAAUUUUCUUUCCUCUUCUUUUUCUUCUUGAAGUUGUUACUCAAGUUUUUCAAGAUAGUCGGGAUCCAGAGUGUCAAAGGACCAUGGGUUUUGAAAAUCUUGAAAUUGGGACAUUGUGGGUUCAAGCUGACUUGCUGAUGCUUGCUGGAUUAAGCUUGUUCUAUCUUUUCUUUUCCUCUUUUUCUUGUGAGAUGUGGGUUUUCACAUCCUGUGUGAAGAGCAGUACAAAUGAUAUUUUCAUUUAACAUUUUCCAAAGUUUUUCUCUGAGUUGGUAUCCUUCAGGAAAAUCUUCUGAGUACUUAGUUGUCUGUCCUAAACUUUGUGUUGGUUAUCCCAAAUAUAAUUGAUUCCAAUUGUUAAAAUGGUAGUCUUCUAGGGGAAUGAUUGGCUGCCAAUUGUGGAUCUGGCUUAAGCCUUCCAUAUGCACCUGGAUGUCCUGUUGGGUUCUUUGUGUAUAUUCCAUUGGAAGAGUUUCCCAUGAAACAUCAUCUUCAAUCUUAGGCUAAAAUUUUGGAGGAAUUGUUUGAUUUAUUUCUGCUAUUUUUGUCUAGAAUGUUUUGAAUUCUUGAGGAUAUCUUUCCCAUUUUUUUUGUGGAGGUUGAACGGUUGAACCGCAUAUUCUUGAACAUGAGAGAGAUGUUUAUAAUGCCCUGAUUCAGUGAAAUAACCUUGUCUUUGAAAUACAAGUAUAACAUGGACAUUGAUAGACGAAGUUCUAAGAUCUUUGAAUUUUAGAUAAAAAUUUCGAAAUUUUUCUCUCCAAUGUGAGAGAGGAUAAAACCAUUCAAAAAAUCUUACAACUUCAUCGUUUGGGUGAGAAAUGAAUCCUGGAUAAUCUUUCCAGAGUUGUGAAGUUUUUUCUGAAAGCCAUGAAACCAUGAUAUCAGCAUUGAAACAUAUUACAAUUUGAUGUGUCUCAAGAAAAUACCAUAGAAAACACAAAAGUUAUUUUGAAAAUUUUUCUUGAAUUUGUUCUGGAUUAAAAUAAAAGAGGUUUAAAAAUGGAUAUUCUAGAUGAAAACCAAGUCCACAAAAAAUAUAGAUUCCAUUUUGCCUGAUAACAAUAGAUUGAUGCUUUAGCAUGAGUUCCUUCGAUCUUGAGUGGAUGGUUUUGUUUCUGAUGAGAGUUUGGAGUUGGAGAGGAAAGUUCUGGAUGGGAGGAUUUUGUGAGGAUGAAUUCAUCAUGCAGAUGGUAGGGAUUUGUGGUUGGAUAGAAGGUUUUGUUCUGGAGAGUAAAUCGGGUAGAAAGUUGUGUUUGCCUUUGAUAUGUUUGACCUCAAAGUAAAAGUUGGAAAAUCAUUCCCCCCAUCUUAAAAGCUGUGAAUUUGGAAUCUGCUUCUUUUUGAAAUUCAGCAUUUGAGGAAAUGCCUUCACGUCCAUUUCUAUCAAAAAUUUGUGACCAAUGAGGUAGAACUAGAAUUUCUCAAUUCCUCAUUUUACAGCAAGAAUUUCUUUGAAUGUAGAAUGGUAAUGUUUCUCUGAUUCUUUGAACAUACUAUUCUUGUAGCCACAUAUUCUUUUCUUCUAGAAGUACUGCCCCCAAUAUAAAAUCACUUGCAUCUGUUUGUAGAAUUCUUUUUUCAUCAAUUGGAAUUUUUAGUGCUGGAAGAUUAUGGGCUUCUUGUUUGAUCAUUUUGAUAGCCUGAGUUUGCUUGCAUGACAAUUGCUGAGGAUUUUUCUUUAGCAUUUCCUGUAGAGGUCGUAUAACAGGGGCCAACUAUUUGAAAAAAUCAGUCAUAUAGGUUACUACACUAAGAAAUUGUUGAACCUGUUGUUUCGUCAAAUUUUCAUCAGGAAAUUUGAGAAGCUCCUGAGCAAUGUGUGGCUAAAGUGAAUAACAACCAUUUUUGAUAUGCAUUCCAAGAAAAUCAAUUUCAGGAAUUGCAAUGAUCAUAUUUUUUUGUGACAACAUGAUUCCGUAUUUUGUAACAAUUUCUGUGAACCUCUGAGUAGUAACUCAUGAAUUCCUUAUUUUCAGAGAACAACAGAAUAUCAUCAAUAUAAAUCAAUGUUGUUUUUAUUAGUGGCAGAAAGAUUUUUAUCAUUGCCUUUUGAAAUAAGGAAGGUGCCGUUUUAAGACCAAAAGGCAUAACUGUCCGCUGAAAAUGUUGAUUGGGUAUACAGAAUGUUGUCUUGUGCCUUUCUUCUGGUUUAACACCUAGUUGCCAGAAACCUGCUUUCAGAUCGAAUUUAGAAAAGAUUUUUGCUUUUACCAGGUUUGCAAAUAUGAUUUUUUUGUCUGGGAGAGGAAACUUAUCAUCUACAAGAAAAUUAUUCAAUGGCUUAUAAUCAAUGACAAGUCUUAAUUUUCCUCUGAUUUGCUCACUUCUUUUGUUAACAUAGAAUGCUUGGCACGCCUAUUGUGAUGCAGUGGGUUCUAUGAGCCUUUCUAAUUGUAAUUGAGUCAAUUCCUUUGUUGCAAACUCUAAAUGUUCAGGACUCAUUUCUGUGUGACUUUCUUUUGUUGGAUUGACAUCCUCAUUUCAUUUAAAGGGUAACGUUAUAAAGAAGUCUGGGUUUUUCCAAAAAGGCUUUGUGCAUUUGGUAAGAAAUUCUAUAUGAGAUUAUGCACAACAAUCUCUUAUAAGAGUUUUUAUUAUGGUUGGUAUCGUAAGGGUAAAAUAAGUGAUUGGUUCAAUGUAAGGGAUAAAAUAGGAUUUGAAUUUGAGUCCAUUCGAAAGAGGCCUGACUCGACUUUCCCAUAACUAUUUGAUAACAUCAAAGCCAAUGACAAGAUCUUUUCCUAGUUAUGAUGAUCCAAGUAGUUUGUGGGAAAUAUUUAGUUCAGGGAAGAAUUGGUGGGUUUCUGGUUUACUAAUAAAUUCCAUGGAAAAAUAUUCAUUAUUGGCAGCUUGAAAGAUCUUUUGAUAGGGUUUCCACAUAUUUUCUAGGAGUAUGGUUAGGUUAAAAAUUGAGGAUGCCGCUCUUGUAUCAAGUAAUGCUGCAACAGUAAUGGGUCUUUCAUACUUUCCCAAAAAAAGCUUAAUUUCAAUCAUUGAUACCACUAGGGAAAGGUUCAUCACCUGCAUUCCAAAACAUUCUUGCACACUUUCAUCACUGAUUUCAGUAUUGUCAUGACUUUGAGUAUCAUCAUGAUAUUCAAGAGCAAAGAGAGUUUCUGGUGACUGUUGUUCUUCCUUUGAAAAUAAUGAUUCUAAAUCUUGCUUAUUUUUUCUUCCUGGAACAAUUUUUUUGUAAAAUGACCUUUUUUGCCACAAGUAAAAUAUCUAUUUCCUUUCCUUGGAGAAAACUUUUUUGUGAAAAAUCUCUUUUUGGGAGAAAACUUGGAAAAGUUUUUCCUUUUCUUGAAACGUCUGCUUCUGAAUUUUUUGGGCUUUGAGCAUCCACAUUCCUUUUUGGCAUGCCACAUUUGAUUUUCAAAUUUGGCUGAUCACAGGCUUUGCCAAAUUGCUUCCCAUUUAUGUUGAAGUCUCUGAAGAAUUCCCUUUGGUUGCAGAGUUUUUUCAGGAUUUUUAAUACCCAAUUGUGAAGUUUUUCAAUGGACGUUUUAGAUGAUGCCUGUCCUUUGAGCUCCAUCAUUCUACAGGUUUCUUGACCAAGGUGUUGUCGAAGAGAUUCAAGAUAUGCCUGUUUGAGAUUAGUAUCAUCAAUUCCUCCAAGGAUGUAGUAUCGUUUCAUGAUUUCUUUAAAAUAUUUGUCCAAAUUUUUUGGCUUGUAGGAACAAUAUUUUAGUUGGAAGAAUUCUUCACGAGCCUUUUCUUUUGCAUGAUCUGGUUUUCCACAAAACUCCCAGUGUAGGCUAUCAAAGAAGUUGUCAAGAUCUUUGCCCAUUGCCUUUGUCUAUAGUUUCCAAGGGAUAUGAACCAUUCUUUCAUGAGACCAGUAAGCCUAGCCAGGACUCCUCUGAUGACCAUAUUAUGCAUCAUAUCAGGUUUUGUUAGUUCUACAGUACCCCAUGCCAACAUCUCUUAUAACCUUGAUUUCCAUUGAGAAGGUGGUAUGUCAUCAAGGGUGAACUUGACGGAUAGAUUACUAUGUUGGGGAUAGUAAUUAUUUGUAACUGUCUAGCCUUCUUCUAUGUCUGGCAAAUCUUCAUCUUCAUAUUGCCUAUAGUGUGUUCCACCAAAUGAUUCUUCAACUUUUGGACCCCUUUGUGCUUCAUCGGCUAUAUAUAAAGGAUUGUAAUCUUCAUUAGAAGAAGAUUCAUAGGACUCAGAGCUGGAUUCAUUGGUUAUGAAAAUGGGUGAAGGCUACGGUGUGGUUGGGUUUUGGAUUUUACAUUUUUCUAAGAAGGAUUAAAUGGGAUUUUUUUUAUCAUCAUUUGCAAUGGUUUUUGGGAAAAAUUGUUUGUGGGUUCUGAUGGUUUCUGUGGUUGUCUCCUUGUAACUUUGGGUGGUCUUAUUUUUCUUUCAUAUUCUUCGGGGGUGAACAAAGAGGUAUUUCCAUAGUUUGGUGUUUUUUCUGAUGUGGCUAGGUUAUAUGUUGAUAAUUGUAUUAAUGAGGAGGAAGGCCAAUUUGUGCUGGAAGGGAAAAAGGCUUGGGAUUCCAUGUCAUUGUCAGUCAAUUGAUUUUUUAACUGCUUGAUUUCCUUUUUUUGGUCAUCAAAUGAGAGUCGUUUGGCUAGAAGGGUUAUGAUUUCAUUGUGAACCGUCUUUAUUAUUUGUUUACAGGCUUCAAUGGGGGAAGUUAAUGUAGCAGCUUGUUGCUCAAGCGUCAUUUCAAUCCUUUGCUGACUUUCAUCAAUCCUCUUGAGGAGUGAAUUCUGUCUCAUGGCAUUUUCAGAUUGCCAGUUCAACACUGUUUCUGUUGGAGAAAUUUUAUCAAUUGAUCCAUCAGCUUUUCUAGUAUUUGGAUUUUUUACUUUCCACAUGUGAUCUGACCGAUCCUUCUCAAAGUUUUCCAUGGGAAUGAGAUUUGUUGAAGGAUGAAACAUAGCUACAGGUGUUGCACUAGCAUUUAACGGCUAUGAGUCUUCAUCAUGAUCCUUCCAGUCCCGUUAUUUAUACUUUCGACAACAAUUGUCGUCGUCAUCAUUAUCAUCACCCAUCCAGAUGGAAUGAUUGGUUCAUUUGUUCCAGUUGGAGGAGUAAAUUUGACAAAAUAAUCAAAUUUCUUAUAUUUAUUAACGAAAAUGUGGUUUCCAUUGCUUAGUGCUUGUUCCAACAAUGUAACGUGAAGUAUGGUUAUCAUAAGCUCGUUAUUGUUAGCAUAAUAAUAAUAUCUGUAUUUGUAACGAAAAUCUGAAGGCUUUUUUUUUCUUCUUCUUCCUUGAUGACAACAAAGGAAGGUUGGAACUUGGAAGUUUGGUCAUAAUACAACUGUUUUGUAGAUGUUUAUGAUAGGUUAAAAGUAUAUAUCAUGAAGAACAUUAAUUUCACAACAGUUCAUCAGUAUAAAGUGUCUGUCUGAUAAUUUGGCAUCCCAAAUUGUCGUUCAAAUGCUUCAACGGACAAUUUCACAAUAAUUAUCGAACUUGACUUUUCGAAAUAUUAAUCGUGGAACUCAAGUUGAAUCCUGCUAUACGGAUGAUAACAUCAAAUGAAAAACCUAACUUCGUCCAAAUUAGGAUAUCUCUAAAACAAGGCUCAGUACGAAAAAAAGACCAACAAAAUCUAUCAUGUGGUUACGACAAAAAUGUUGCAAUUUAAGUAGUAGUAUCUAAUCCAGACGCAACAAAAAGAAAAAACAGUAAUAAAAUUAAAAUCGGCAUCCCUUAACUUUUAUCAGCUUUAGAGGCAGUAGCAGCAGCUUGACCACGAAGCCGUCCAGUCCUCCUGGCAGCAAUGAGACCAACCUUUUGUCCAGGUGGUGCAUCACGACGUACGGUACUGGCAUGACCAAUAUGUUGAUGGUUACCACCACCAUGGGGAUGCUCCACUGGAUUCAUAGCAACACCACGAACCUUGGGCCAGCUGUUCCUCUUGACCCUGAACUUGUGAUAAGCAUUCCCGGCCUUCAAAAGUGGUUUCUCAGUACGACCUCCUCCAGCAACCUGGCCAAUCAUGGCACGGCACCCACUGGGCACAAUCUUUUUGGCUCCUGAUGGGAGCUUAACCCUGUCAACAACAAUAAUUUGUAAAGACACUGAAUGAUAAUCGAUCCAUACUAUAGAUUGUUUUCUUAAAUAUAUCUUCGGCAUAACGAUUUUGAAAAAUGAAGUUGAACGAAAAAGAUGCAGAUCGGACAGGAAAAUUUUGACAAUUUAGUGGAGAUGGUCCACAAAACAAUGGACAACAGGUUAAGCAAUUUCAUGCAUGGAGAAAAAUUACUAAUUUCUUAAUGCAUAAUCAAAAAAUUAUGAAACAAAUUAGACAUAUUUAAAAAGUAUGCAGCUAAGCAAGAAUGAAUGAGAGAAGUGUCACAUUUCAUUUAAACUGCAUUUAUUAAUACCUUUCUCCGAUUGAGAACUGUGGAUUUUAUAAACUGGAAAGAGGGUAGUGUUGAUUAACUACAAAAACUAACAUUUCUAAUUCUAGCAGAUACGAAACUACAAUGAAGACGGAUCAAAUCAUUGUAGAUAUACCGAUUCAAUCCGAGCUCUCUUAUUGAAUUAUUCAUUCAAUGAGCAUUCUCAAUGUUAAGGACUUGAACCUCCACACUCUUUAGCACGAAAUUUUGAGUCUCACUUGUCUACCAUUUCACCACCAAGGAAUCUUGAAAGUGAAUCAUAUUCCAUGAAUAUGAUAUCCAAUUAUUGCUUCCAUUGAAACAAUGCUGAUAAUUUUACUCUAGAAUUUCAUUUCUAUUGAAUCAAUCAACUACUGAAACCUAACAAAUGAAUGCGUAUGGAUUUGUAAAACAAUUAAAUGUGCUCGCAUCUCACUAUUACCAAGCAUAAACCCAUAACCUAAGUAACAAAAAAAUUUCAUGGUCAUCGAACAAGCGCGCUAAAAAAUUUUAAUCCUUACGACCAUUAAACAAAAGCUCAUGUGAUGUUAGUAACUUUACAAUACAAACUGAGACAGAAAAAUCAGAUUAAAUCAUAUAAUAAAACCAAACCACCAAUUUUCAGUGAUAAUAAUAUUAAACACGAAUCUAAGUCGUGAAUAGGAAUUAUACCUAGACGUUCCAUUAUCUGGGUUGUGCGAGAUAACGAUAGCGUAAUCUCCAGAGGCCCUAGCAAAAACGCCACGAUCACCAACAUGGUGCUCCACGUUGCAAAUGACGGCACCUUCAGGAAUAGAUCUGAGCGGCAACACAUUUCCGACCACAAGGUUGGCCUUCUUCCCGCAGUAAAUAAACUGACCGGUGUAGAUUCCUUCGGCGGCGACGAAAAGCUCCUUCUGGUGUUUGUACCGGAAGGGGUGGCGGAAGGUAACGCGAGCCAGGGGGGCGCCACGGCCUGGGUCGUGAAUGAUUUCAGUCACCACCCCCUUCAGGUAGCCAUUGCGUUCGCCGAAGUCGAGGGUACGGAAUCUGGCCGGACCUUUCCGGUGGUGGGUAUGAGACUUGAAAAUGGAUCCUGCUCCCUUACGCUGUGCCCGGAUCACACGACCCAUUUGUGUGUGUGCUGUGUGUGGAUCAGAGAGGUAGGGGACGGCCGAAGUGGAAAAGUGCCGUCGAAGAACUGAACGGGAUUGGGUAAUUGGAAUUUUGUUAGGGUUUACGUAGCCCUAGCCAUUAUGGGUAAGGAAGCCCAAUAGGCCUAUUAUUUCUUAAAGGACCCAGGUGGCCCAUUAUAGUGGGCCCAAUUACAAUGCGAAUAUUUUAUUUUUACUUUAGUUAACUUACACAAACACCCUUAAUUUCAUGAUCAUCUUGAAAAAAUAGUAUAAAAAUUAUUAUAAAAUAUAAAUGCAAUAACUUUUAUCAUUAACAACGUAAUUAAUACGUUAUAAACAAAUCAAAAGUAAAAAAGAGAUGGAAACACGAUGAGAAAAUCGAAAUCUACACCAUCAAAUCAACAAAAAUCGAAAUUAGAAUAUGAAAUAUUGCGCAAACUAAUGCGAUAUCAAUGACUCCUUUAGCUAGCUUCCUUCAAAUGAUAUUUUGUAUUUUCUUCUCCAAGUCCGCAAAUAAUAACAUGAAUCUACAAGUUUGUUAUCUGUAAAUUUUAAUUCAAUUAGUUCGUAUUAUAUUUGAUUGUUGAGAGGUAGAUUAUAAAUUUUAUGAUUAUUCGAUGAAAGGAAAGUAAUUAUAGGUAAAUAAUAAUAACUACUUAUUAAUGUCCACUUUUUAACUAGUCACGAAUUUUUUAAUUAUGAAUUUCGAUUCCGUUGGGCUUUUUUUGUUCUAGUAUAUACAAAAAUUCAUCUUUAGAUUAAUGAUUUUGAGUUAGUAUAUGCGCAAAAUUAAUUUUGGAUCAAUUCAAGUGAUACGUGCAAAGUAUUUUGUGGAAAUGUAAAUACAAAUAUAAGAAAGCGAAAAGAAAAAUGCUCUAUCACUUUUGUUAAGAAGUCGCAAACUAUCUCGUUUAGAUUUUUUUAAUCGUUUAAAGAGAUACGUACAUGUGUGUUGUAGAAAUUUAAACAUAAACAUGAAUUCAAAUUUGCUUUCAUUAAAAAGUGAAAUAAUGUAUCACUUUAUUUGUCUUUUGAAUAUGAAUUAAUGUGUUAAAAUUUAAAAUUAAUAUUCCGUCACUUUUUUUUUUUUAAAAGAAAAUCUCAUAUUAUCUCAUUUGAAUUUUUUUUUUGUUUAAUUAAAGAUAUGCAUAAAUGUGUGUUUUGUGCAACUUUAAAUAUAAAUAAGAAUUUAAGCUUUGUUUUAAAUUAAUUAAAAAGUGACAUGAAGUAACACUUUAUUUGUCUUUGCACAUGAAUUAUAAGUGCUAGAAUUUGAAAGUUACGUGCUCUAUCAACUUUUUUUAUUUUUUUUUUUAAAUUUUUAAGUAUCACACUAAUUUUAUUUGUAUUCUUGCAUGCUUGAAUAAAAUUAAUAUAUUCAUGGCAAAUGAAAACAAAAUAACAAAUAUAUAUAAAAAAAAAAAAAUCUUUUCACGAAAGUUAAAUUAGGCAACAAAUUUUUUUAAUGAUAAUUACAUAAAAAAUAAUUCUAUCCAACUGCAAUUUAUGUGACCACAAUUGAUAGAUUUAAUUAAAUAAAUCAUGUGAAAUUUCAUUUAAACGAAUUUAUCAUUUAAUAUUAUGCAAUUGUCAUAUAGACUGAUGUUGUCUUUGCACAUAAAAUGAACCAUAAGCCAUUCAUUCUCCUGUAAAAAGAGAAUGCUACACUAUUCUUAAAUUUUCAUGGCACCUGUUUAAAAGUUUAUUGGCAAAACUCAAUCACCUUAAAAUAUAGUGAACAAUUAAAAUACACAUUUCAAAGUAUAAUGAGUAAUCAAGAAAAUCUUUCUUACGUAACAAGUAGGUCUUAUGCUGAGGCGAAGGUAGUGGGGAGCAUUGUUGGGCCAGCCCACAAAAUUUUCUAAGAAAUAUUUUAGAAUUGUGGCCAAGAUGUUAGCAUUAGUCCAACUUUAAUUUAAAUCUCAAUCCAAGUCCAAUGCUCAAUUAUUCAAAUUGUAUUAAAGAUACUACAAUUAUUAAUUACUCUUUUCAAGAUAUUCAUGAAAUGUGAAUAUUUUAUUAUCAAAUUAGAUAUUUUAUUUAAUGCAUAUUUGACUAAAAUUUACUUAUAAUUAUUAAGUAAAUUUUAUUACAGAUAAAUUGUAUUGAUUAGAUCUAAAAGUAAAUUACUUAUUCUAAUAGUUAGAGACACUACGUAUUUUUUCUAAAUUAACGUAUAUUUUCAUUCAUUGCUAAUUCAUACUUAUAAAAAAAAUACUUAUUUUGACCAUAAAGUAGAUAUUAUAAUCAAAAUAACUUACUAUAGAUUUGAUAUUGAAAAUAAAAAGAAUAUGUGUUAAAACUUAUUUAUUUAUAAAGUAACCUACAUCGAUAAUAAAAAAUUAUUUGUUAAAACUUUCAGUUGUUUGGAAAGACGGGUCGUUAAAAUUACUAGAAGAGUACUCAUUAAGUAUUUUUCUAAAUGUUCAUUGGUAGAUAUGUAUUUUUGCUUAAUUCUAUUGUGAUUCGUUUAGUUUAUAUAUUUUUAAGGUAAGCAUUGAUUUUCUAUUUGGUAAAAAAAAAAAAAAAAUAAUACCAAAAAAUUUAGUAGAAUAUCUUAAUGUGGGACUUCUAAACUUUUUUUUUAUUUCACUGAGUGUCUAAUACUUUUUAUCGUGAAUAUUACGAAAAUAGCUUCUGACCCUCGAUUUCUUGUGAUGUAAGUUCAUUCAAAAAAAUUUAAAUUUCAAUCCAUCCUAACAUCAUUUUCUGAUUUUCUUUUGUGAUUUAUCACGUUACAGUAUUUAGACAUCACCUGUGCAUUCCGUUUACUACCAAGUCAGCAAUUUCAUUAGAUAUGUGAAAUGAAAAUAAUUCAAGUGAUUUGGUGAGUUUAGUGAUUCAAACUCAAUAUUUAAAAUUUUACUGAACAUUCAUAAAUUUAGUGAUUAUUGGGAGAAUUAACUCAAUUUGGACAAUUGAAGAUAUGCAUAAAUUUAGUGAUUAUUGGGAGAAUUAACUCAAUUUGGACGUAACUAAACAACACGAUCUUAUCAAACAACAUAUCACCAUGGAUUGAAAUCUCGAAGAAAGGAAAGGAAUUGAGUAAUUACCUAACCCGUACGCGCGUGUAUCUAUACGCAAGUAUAUACUUACAUAUAAAUAUACACACGCAAAUGUAUGUAUACUCAUUCACCCCGUCCGUUUACAAUUCGCAAUACACAAAUUGAAGUUUCAAUCUCAUCUCCCUUUUUCCCUCCAAUCUCCAUUCGUCCAUUCUGCAAACAGAAGAAAAUAUAUAUUUUUGCAAUCUCACUAGAAAGUCACUUUGGCAAUUUCUUUGUUCAAGAACUCAAUCACUAGUUCACAUAAUUCAGUAGAAAUACAUAUACAUAAACAUGAAACGAGGUUAUCAGCAAUCUUCCCCAUCGGGCUCUCAUGGACCCCCUCAAUCCAAACCCAGAUAUAACCCUGAAGGUAUUAUUCGUUUUUUUUUUUUUUAAUAUUUUCUGAAGAAACUAUAAUACCUAAAUUUCCGUUUUGCACUGGAAUUUAGGUUAAAUGGAGUAAAAAGCCUGGAACUUAUUCUAAGAAAAGUAUGGAUUGCUGGGUGUAAAAUUAAAUCGGGGAAAAACGAGAAAAAUACUUCACUUUUAUUUUACUUUUCGGUUAUAGUAUUGGAGAUUCAUGCUUGGGCUUAAACCGUAUGAAUUCUAAAGCUCGAAUUGUCAAAUUCACCAUUUUUUCUUGUGGUGUUGGGGGUGGGGGGUGUGUUGCCGGAGGUUGAAGUCUAUGUGUUGUGAAUUUGAAAGGAGAAUUUGUUGUGGUCAGGGGAUGUACAUUUUUUGGAGGAUGAAAGUACUAAGAUUUUUGCAAAGAAGGUGGCUGAUCAUUACAGCGCAAGGACCAAUCAGACGCUUGAAGAGCGAGAAGCAAGCCCCAUUAUUCAUAUGAAGAAACUUAACAACUGGGUAUGUAUUGAGAUUUGAUAUCUUUUCUCUUUCAGUUUUGUUUUCAUGUAUAUUGAUGACCAAAUUAAUUAAUGGAAUGCAGUUAAUUCUUGUAAGAGGUUGUUUCUUACUGCUUGUCCUGGUCAACAGGUAAAGAGUGUUUUAAUUCAGUUAUAUGCGAAAAGAGGAGAUGCGGUUCUUGAUCUCGCUUGUGGGAAGGUAGUGUAUGGGUGGAAUUCUCUGGAUAAUUAGGUGUUUACUAUGUGCAUAUGUAGUAAAUUAGCAAAUUUGGUAUCCAUUUUUAUGCGCACCAGGGUGGCGAUCUUAUCAAAUGGGAUAAAGCAAAGAUCAGUUAUUAUGUCGGCAUUGAUAUAUCAGAUGGCUCGGUAAAGUUACUUUCCUUCUAUUACCCUUUCAUUGUCAAUUGCAUUUAUAUGUGGAAACAUUAAGCCAUGUUUUGUUUUCAAGCUAAAAAUUUUCCUUAUAUGUCUCCCUCUUUAUACAUUUAGCUGUGGACGCAAGUCGUGUAUUAGUGCUCAAAGUUUGAGAUACGUGUGAGCAAAAGGACUCUUUCUGUUAUUAUGGAAACCUAGAAGCAACCAAUGCCUACCUAAUGAUGCUUAUUUGCACGUUUUAAGAACGUUCAUUUUCAGAUUGGUUUCCAUAAUCUUCUAAAAUAUCCAAGUUCUCUUCCAUAGCAUGAAUGUACCUCCAAGGCUGAUAAUGGUCCUAGAAGUUACCAAGUUAGUGUUCUGUUGGUAUCAUAGAUCUGACUACUGGUCAUGUGCAUUGUGUUCUCUAGCAAUUCUUUUUUUUUUUUAUAUUUUUAAAUUUUUAAAUUUUUUUUCUAUUGGUGAAAGUGGAAAUUACUGCUUUUUUUGCACAAAACUGGACUGUUCAUUUUUCUCACAUGCGUUUUCACAUUCAACUAUUUUGAAAUGCGUUUAGUCAAAGUAGUUUGGUUUUUUUAUUAUAUUAUAAAAAAAAAUAUAAAGUAAUCUACCAUCUAUCACUUUUUCAAGUCAUCAUUCUCCCUCCUUCAAUUCAAUCGAUUUCCGUCCAAAAGUCCAUCUUUCAUGUAUGAAAAAAACUCUCCAAAUUCUUUUUUCUUCUGUGGGAAUAAAAUAUCGUAGGGAAAAAAUCGUAGAAUUUGUGACGAUUUUCUUUGUUUAUGUUCUUGCAAUUUUUUUUUUUUUUUUUUUUUUUUUUCAAGUCGUCACGUUAAACGAAUUACACCCACCUAUGUGUAUCGCGAGUUGGAAAAUUUUUAAUUGAACUUCACUUUUUGGUCAAUUGUGGAUUUACGAGGUUUUCAAUUAUUAAGUGUUAGAAUUUGGUCUUCUGCAAAUCUGUUUUCUUUCCCAAAUUUAAGUUUUAAUUUAAUAUUCACUUCUUGAAGGUACCCUUGAUUGUGGAUUAGUAUUAUAUUUUUAGGUAUUUGAAUUUGAUCAUUUGCAAAUUAAAGGCUUCAGCCUUUCCUUUUCCCAAAUACAAGUUUCAAUCUGAUAUAUUGGUUGAGGAUACCUUAGAAUGUGGAUUAGUGAUAGUUUCUUAUAUUAGCUGUUAGAAUUUGAUCUUCUGCAUGUUUAUAUGUUUCUAUUUGAAAUUCAAGUUUUAACUUGAUAAUUCUUGAAGAUGCCCGAAAAUGUGAAGAAGGUUAACAUUUGAGUUGCUUUUGUUGCACAAAUGUCAUCUAAUCCUUUAUUCAUGAUAUUGGCUAGUCUUCAACUCUCGACUGAUGAAUAAUAUUUGGAGAUCAAUAUUAAGGAUUAUUUAUUGAUUGCACUUUCUUAUACAUUAUGCACGAAGUACAAUAAUGAGAUUUGUCACCUUUACAUGUUUUAGUCCUUAGAAGACAAAACUAUAGAUUAUAGCCAUAACCAUUUCAAUCGAUGUCCUUAUCCUGACUCAGAAUACACUCAAAUAAUUAUUGAAACCUUGAAAGGGCUGCAAAUACUUCUGAACUAAUGAUCAUGGCUUGUGCUUGUGUGUAGCUGAAAUGUAAUUGUAAAGUCUCAAUUGAACAACGAUACGAUUUUUUAAGCAUCUUCCUCUCACAUGGAUGUCCAUCCACGGGUUGCAAAACUAGUGAUCAUUACGAUCCACUUCAUUUGUACCCUAAUCUCCAUUUGAAAAUCUUUUUCUGUCUUAACAUUGAGAGCAAGCUUAUAUUUUUCUCAGAUAAUUAAUUCCGUAUGGAUUCAAAUUGACAUGAUAUUGAUUGUUGCCCAUUAGUAUUAUAAUUUUCAGACAUGAAGUUUCUGAAAAUGUGAUAUUAUUCUGUUUACUAGCUUAUUCAAUAUUAAUUAGUAUGCUCAAUCUGACAACAGAUAGAAGACUGUCGAACUCGAUAUAAUGGUGAUGCCGACCAUCAUCAGCGUCGAAAAAAGUUCUCAUUUCCUGCUAGACUCCUUUGUGGAGAUUGUUUUGAGGUAAUUAGUGAUUAUGUUAGCUGUGCCAGCCAUAAACAUGAAAAUGCUUUGUCAUCUAUAUAUGAUGUAUACAAAUGGAUUCUGACUUACGUUUAAGUAUCUGAAAUUAGCCUUGACUUGUUACUUUAGGCACUGGUGGAAGUAAUUUCUAUCUUUCUCUGAUGGAUUUUAGGUGCGCUUGGAUAGAGCUUUGGCAGAUGAUGCUCCCUUCGACAUUUGUAGCUGCCAGGUGAGUCUUGCAUUUCCGUGAAAGUAAUGGUCCCUGUUUUAACAGUACUUAAAUUUGGUGCGUGGGUGGGCACUUUAGGUUCCUCAAACCAAAGUUAUCGCAAUUUGAAAAAGACACAAUAGAAGUGUUUUCUGUCAUUCUCUUUUCUUGAAAGCUACCCAGGAUAAGAUUAUUAAUGAGCUUUUGACGUUCUCUCUUCACUAAUCUCUGCUUUUAUUUUACUGAAAGAUUAUAUUCUCUACAAUGACUUCAAUUUACUUGUUGCAGCGGUUCAAUUGUACAAACACACUCAAAAAUUUUCUUAUCAGAUUGGGAAUACUGCAUCAUAACCUUUUCAAAAAAUUUAUAUGUCACUCUGUUGCUUUAAACUUUAAAUUUCUGUAUUAUCCUUUUGGGUUCUUGUCGUAUAUGCAGUUAAGGUAAAAGCACCUCGAUGUUUUUGGAUUCCUUUGGACGAAGAUACGUCUCUCAGAUUAUGUCCUUGUUCAAACUCUUUUGUCAAUAUCACAGAUGAGAAAUAAAGUUUCUCUGUAAUGUUGCAAAUGGUUAACAAUUAUUUGAGUUUUUUAAAUUUUGAUAUUAAACGUCAAAACCUGAAAUUUUGCAGUUUGCCCUGCAUUAUUCAUGGUCUACUGAGGCACGUGCGAGGCGGGCAUUGGCUAAUGUAUCGGCUUUACUUCGACCAGGAGGCAUCUUUAUUGGAACUAUGCCAGAUUCCAAUGUUAUCAUUAAAAAGCUUAGAGAAGGUUUUUUCCUCAGCUGUUUUCAUAUCUGCUUUUGGAGUUCACUGGAAAUUGAAAAUGUAUUGGUGAAAACUUGCUUGUUUAUUACCCCUUUUGAAGCUAUGCUUCUCAGCAUGGUGUUUGUCACUAAAUGUAAAUGUAAACUAUUGUCACAGUACGGGGCACUUUAGGCAUUCUUCUUUUUAGUUGCAUGAAGAGGUGUCUUGGUGGUAAUGACCCUCAUUGUUCUCAUAUUCUUUUAACAAAACAAUAUAUAUUAUAUAAAUUGUCUUAACGGAAGACUUUUAUAUUUUAUUUUCUGACACAUAAAGAGAUGACAUGGCGAUUUUCAUCCUCUUUAUUUCCUUUUCCUUAGAUCGAACAAUACAUACAUAUAUACAUUACGUAUGUAUUCAAAGAUAUAUGAAAUAUAGUUACACACACAUGUACAUACUUAUAUGCAAUACCACACACAACCAUAUGUACAUGAUUGCAUACAUAUAUUACUCUUUUAGGCUCCUUGGUGAAAGAUCUACAUGCUUCUGAUGAUGAUAUUCACCACAUCACUUUCCAGUUUCUUUAGUUACUGAUUCAACUCGUGACUACUCUAGUAAAGGAUGUGAAGAGAGAAAUACUGGAGAAAUAUAAUAAUAUUCCACUUAUAAUGAUUUUUUAUUUCCUUCUUGAUUAUUGAAAAUUCCUAGUGGUGAUGACUUGAUCAAAAUGGUGAAGAAACAUUAAGUUUUCUAACUUCUUGUUUUCCUGUCUUUGAGUUCAUCUACUAGAUAUACACCAAUAAACUAUCCAUGACUUCAUUUUUGGUACCUCAUGGCAUUUUGUUAGAUACAAAAUCCUGUGGACCUCAUGGCAUUUUGUUUUAUACGAAAUCUUUUCCUUUUUAUUCUGUAUUUAAUACCAUCUUUCAGAAACAUUAAGUUUUCUAACUUCUUAUUUUACUGUCUUUGAGUUCAUCGACUAGAUAUACACCCAUGAACUAUCCAUGACUUCAUUUUUGGUACCUCAUGGCAUUUUGUUUUAUGCGAAAUCUUUUCCUUGUUACUCUGUAUUUAAUACCAUUUUACUCAUUAUUAUCUGCUUGAUGGACUAUGUAGCCGAGGGGUUGGCAUAUGGUAAUAGUGUGUACUGGAUAAGGUUUGGUGAAGAAUUUGCAGAGAAGGUAAAUUUCAUUUUUGAUAUCAGAAAAAUGCCUGUAAAAACGAUUUUCUCGCAUACGGUUGGAAAUUCUCUAUUUCUAAUAAAAUUUUCUCCAUUUUGGUUUAUUUCAGAAAUUUAAGUCUUCGAGUCCUUUUGGUAUCCAGUACAGUUUCCACCUAGAGGUACCUACUUUUUGCCCUUUCUACUGUUUUUAUCUAUUUGAUUAUUAUAAUCUGAACCUUCAUCUUCACGUGUUCAUUUAUUUUGACACGUGAUAUUUAUUUUAGAUUUGCAUUUUCACACUUCCGAUAAUAUCCUCAUGAAAAGUGAUGGAAGUGGCUCUCUUGUAGGAUGCUGUUGAUUGUCCUGAAUGGAUUGUCCCUUUUCCUGUCUUCAAAUCAUUGGCAGAAGAGGUAUUAAUUUUCUGCUUCUUGAUUAAGUUGCUCAUUUCAUAUGUGCAUCAAGUAAUUCUUUCGUCUCUUUGAAACUGCCUUUCUCGUUAUUCUUGAAUGGUUAUGUCUGAUUAUUCUUUUAAGGAUUAGAAUACUGCAUUAUCCAUAAUCUAGUUUUAAACUGUAUAGAUACAAAUAGAUCAGUUUUGAUAUUAGCCAAACUGUGAAAAUAAACAUGGAUUUAGCUAGUGAGCUUUAAUCACGUGUUGGUAAAACAUCUGUUUUGAACUGUGCAGCAUGAUUUGGAGUUGGUUUUUGUAAAAAACUUCCAUUUGUUUGUGGAUGAAUACUUGAAGAAACCAGAAUUUGUUGAGCUCAUGCGGAGGCUUGGUGCAUUGGGUGAUGGUAACCAAGACCAGAGUAUGUUCAAGAUUUACUUCUAUGGGAAUUGCCAAAUGUCUUAUUUAUUAAUCACUUAAUCGAUUGGUUUGAAAUUUCACUUGUAAAUGUUCAGGUACUCUGUCACCAGAUGAAUGGGAGGCAGCCUACUUAUAUUUGACCUUCGUUUUGAGGAAGGUGAAAAUUCAUACUUCUUAAUAAAUAAGUUCAGUGGAAUAUUUUGCCCAAAUGUUUUACGAAUAUUUGUUCUUUUCUACACAUGCUUUUCUUGUUCUAGAAGAUUUCAUUAAAGAGAAGUUGGUUUCUUGUAUUUACACGUUUGUGUUCAAAAUAUGUGAUUUUCUAUAUUGGUAUGGUUUAACCAUUAAGUGCCAUUUUAAGGCGCGGUGAAGGUAUUCUGCACUAUGCAAUACUGUUCUUGGGCGGUAUUAAAAUGAAAAUUGUUAGCAAGUCAAUCUUAACCAUACUGAUUCACCAGUCUCGUUUUAUCCAAGUGCAAACGAAUAGCUGCAGUUAAAAGGGAUUUGUAUUUUGCAAUAUUGAUAUGGACAUAAUAUGUCUUUUCUUGCAGCGGGGGCAACCAGAUCAACCAAGAACUAGCAGUAUACGAGAUAGAGGGAAGAUGCAGUUGUCGAAGGAAGACAUUACAUUCAUAAGAAAUGGUGUUUGACCGCUCAGUUUCAAGAACGGCAUCCAAAUGGGACUAACAGCACCAAAUUCCCUUGUUGUGAAUGGCAAGCUCAAUCCUUCUAUUUAUUUAACUCGUCUUCUCACUACUGAUUACAUUAAAGAAUACCGAGUUCGCUGAUGAGAAUAAGUUCUAUUGCGGCUUGCUUAUGAUAAUGAAAUUUCCCCGUAAUGCUGCCUUCCCUAUCCCCAUUUUCAACUCAAAUGUAUCUUAUUAAGCUGAUUUUCUUUGGACUUGUCCCCAUGUGCCAGUCUUUUUGAUGCACCGAUUCAGUUUAUGUAAUCCCUUCGAAUCAGACAAGCAAAUAAUAAAAGUACGAUUGACAUAUUUGUGUGCAUAUCUCAAUUUAUAGUUAACUUUUUUAAUUAUGAGUAAUAUAUGGAGAUGCAUUUGUUGAUUUUCUUGGUCUUUGAUUUUGCAGAAAUGUUUCGAGUUUUCUUGAUUUACUUGAAGUGCACUUGUCAUCUACCUAAAAAGGAUCAUACUUCAUGAUUGUGUUUAAAAUGUAAAAAUUGUGUCAAAGGUUUUUACGAUAUAAGAGAUGAUAAGUGAAUUGGUUUAUGGUUUAAAAUGUUUGGUUGAUUGUAAGCGAAAUUUUCAAAUUCAGAAGUUACUUGGUAAGAAAUAACAAAUAAGUAAUUUACUAUUUCACAAGUUUGACUGAUAUAAUUGCUAUUUUGGCCUCAAUAUAAUUUAAAAAAAUGGGAAAUGCUAUGUGUACACUAUGAGUGUACACAGUGCAUUACAUCCCUCUCACAUGCAGGGGAGGCCACGAAUAUUUUAUCGCGUGUAGACCCCUCUUCAUGUGAGGGGGGUGUAAUGCUAUGUGUACACUAUUAUGUACACACAGCAUUUUCCUUUAAAAAUUGUUCCCCCCAUAGGCUCGUUACUUGAUUGCAAACAGCUUUGUCAACUUUUUGGUCAUAUGAUAGAUUCACUCCAUCCAAGUAACUAUUUUACCAGGGGCAAUUAUUAUUAAAAAAAAAAUAAAAAAAAAUACAUAUAUAUAUAUAUAGAAAAUUAGGAGAGCUUCCACACUGUCAAAAUGGCCAUUUUGCCAUGAAUAACGACCACUUUACCCUUUCUGAAAAAUAUUCUUUUCAAAUGUACAGUUACACUUGCAUGUCACAAAAUUGAUGUAUGCACAAAUUACGAGACCAAUAGUCAAUGAUAAAAGACUAGUCCAGACUUUACCAUAAGAACUAUAUCCAGUAAUUUAUGGAUAAUCAGCCCCUUUUUAACAUAAAUAUAUAAAGGCAUGGAAGUUGCAAAGAAACUAGGAGAAAAAAAAAAAAAAAGUAAAAACAGACCCUCUCUCUCUCUCUCUAUAUAUAUAUAUAUGCACAAUGCAUUACAAGUAUUUCAAAAUAGUGUUCAGUAACAAACUAGGAAAAAGAGAAGGAAAAGCAUGAUUUCAUCAUACUGCAUGUAGCUUCGACUAAUUCUUGCAAAUAACGACAACUAACCUCGCUUCAGUAAAAUUACUAUUAUUGCCAUGACUGCCAAUCCCAUGAAUGAUGCUUCCAAAACAGUCUCUACACCGUUUAAUCUUGCAGUUCCAUCAUCAUUCAUAGAUACUUUAUUGGCUGCCUGGCCUCUGAAGAAAUUUUGGAAGAAACCUGACAAGCUAUUCAUCAUAUCAACCACAGCAAGCUUGAUCUUCUGCAUAAUAUCCUGAAAUCCAUUUCCUGACUUGGAAUGACCUGAGUCGGAUGGUCUAUCAUCGCACUCCUGGAAUGAGUGGUCGUGUAGAUCAUUUUCGGCAACUGAUUCCUUGACAUCUAAAUUCAUACCCGACGUGGCAAAACCUGCAGACAAAAUAUAACAAAAAUGCAUUGCAUAUAUCUGUCGUACAGUCGGUGGAUGAAUUGCAGACACAAACACGGGUUCUUACAGGUCUUCUGUGACUGCAGAAACUGCUGAAGCUCUUGAUUUCGUAAUACAGCAUUCCAUACAUUUGGAUCAGAAGCAAUUGAGGCAACAACAUUCUGCCAGAGCAUCAGACUUAGAUAUCAUAAUCACAUAUUUCAUAAUGCUGUUGCAAAAUCAGCAAAACAUUCAUGUGUUUAGAAUCUAAUCUAUCUAUAACAAAGUUUCCAGGGGGAAGGAGGUCCAAAAUCAGAUUAAACAAUACCCAAUUAAAGCCUCAAACUACAACCACCUUAUGUUUAACUCAAAAAAUCGAUUUAAAAAGGGUAAAUAAAGAUCAAUAUGAUAUUCUAAAGACAUAUACAAUGUAAGCACUCCAAGUGAAAAGUCGCCACCUUUAGAAACCAUCCUCAUAAACAAUGGACUUGAUUAUAGUUCUAACCCCACCCCCCCACCCCCCUCUUUUUCCUUUAGGUACUUACUGAUGAUACUAGAAAGUAGAAAAGAGGUUUUUGCUUCUGUAAAAUUCCGUUAAAUACAUAGCAAGAAGUGAAAAGACAACGUUACUUCCAUCACCCUGUGACCCAUUUAUCAUUUUCCCAAAGAAAGAGCAUAUUAAAAAAAUCCUGAAGUCUAUAUUUCCUUGAUAAUAGAUGGUCCAUAUAGAAACGAAUCAGCAGAAAUCAAGCUUGCAUGAAUCAGGAGACUUAGAACUAAUAAAUAAAAGAAGAUAUCCCAAGAUCCUCGAUUGUGUAACUACCAAACAUAAAAUGCUAUCUUCCUACUUUCAGUAGUAAUAGUAAAUGAAUCUCAUUUCAAGCUUAUCGAGUUGGAUAACCCGUAAAACCUGAGCUGCAUAGCUGUUGUUUAGAAACCUAAAUGCUUCAAUAGCAUGAGUUGGUACUGCAGGUGCUACGGAUUUCUCAGUAGUGUGCCUGGUGUCUUGAACUUUUGAGUUAGAAAGUAAGGUGGAACCGUGAUCUGAUGUAUGUGAACCUCCAUGGCCAACAGAAUGAGAAGAAGACAGAUAAGCCCUGAAAUUUCAAGAAAUUCAGUAAAAGAACAGCCAGCAGGAAUAAAAAACUUAAAAGCAGGAUGUGCUUUAUCUAGAAAUGUAUUAGACCUCUAAAAUACCGUUCAGUUGAUGCUAUAGGACAUCACAUGAGGUUAUAAUUCAAGAAACACAAUUGGCUCAAUCUUUUAGGGUUACUAAACCAAAACCCCUUUUCAAGACUUGUGAUCCGCUCCCAGAGAUAAAUUAAACUGAAUGAAAAAAUAAAAAUUUAAAGCAGUGCUAUGUUCUCAUAAACUUUCCUAUCAUUAUUUCUUCUUCACCAGAAGUUCAUAGAAGUCCAAAAUUUUCAAGAAAUCAUACUUUUCGACAGCCACGGUGAGUUCAGAAGUGGCCUCUUUAGCUUCCUGAAGAGUCGGCAGGCCGCCAAAUACAACCCUUGGCACGGGCUCGUCAGCACUAACCAACAAAUCCUCCUCUCCUCCCGCGAACUCCCAAUCAUCGAGCUCCGAGCAAGGCCUCUGGACGUCAGCCUGCGACUGCGAGGACUUCAGUUUCACGUCAUCCUCCAACGAGACCCUCGCUGAAACGGGACAAGAAGACGCAACCUUACGAGCGGAAAAAGUGACCGGGUAGUUCUCGACGGCAGUGACACCUCGGAGCCCCCCGGUGGCCACUGUGAAUCCCACUACCUUCGCCGCCGCCUUCAUCCCUCCUCCCAUAGUUUUGGCUAGCUCGUUGAAAUUGAACAUAUACGAAGUGAUCGAAAGGGAAACCCUAAUUAUUAAGGAAGGUACUUUACCCUGGGUUAAGGCAAGGAUAAACUGGAAUUUUAAUCUAUUUAUAUGGAUUUGAAUAGAUUUUCCGGGAAGAGAGACCAGAGACAGACACGUGUCACAUUUGGCAGUCCUUUGCGCUUUCGAUUGUAGAGCAGUUCACGGAUAUAAAAAUUAUUUUAGGAAAAAUUUAACUUUUGGUCAAUAUAUCCGGUCACAGGCUAAAGGAACUUCCAGACCAUAUGAGUUUUAGCCCCGUUUGGCUCCUAUUAAAUUACAUUACAUUACAUUUUUCUCUCUCCUAUUUUUAGUCAUAUAAUCUUUCAUAAAAUAAUAUUACAUGUAAAUUAAAAAUUUUUCUUUUUCUUUUAACCACUCAUUUUUCAAAAAACCACUAUUCCAUCCAUUUUCAUUUCCCAAAAAUGAGAGCCGAAUGGGGCUUAGCCCAUUAUUUGAGUGACAUUAUUUUACUAAAAAUGCAUAUUAAAAUAGUGUAUUAAUAAAAAUAUAUGUGAUUAAAAAAUAAAAAAAUAUUUUGAAUUUACGUGCAAUAUAAAGGUUAAAUCCCAACCUUGAGGGCCCCCAACGCUCCGUCCCUAAAGUUUUGUGAGU